AGAAAAACAAUUGACACACACAAAAAACACAAACACAAACUGGGGAGAGAGAUUUGGAAGUAGAUAGCAUUUCCAAGAUGGUGGAGAUGGAAGAAGUAAAAUCACCAAAAUCAUCAACCACAGACCAAUUACCAUUCAGCAGCCCCACCAGGUGGGGAUGCGAGGAAUAUAUUCUGUUCAUUUCUUACGUCAUAGGCAUGUCGGUAAGGUAUCUGCCGGCGGAGGACAUCGACGGUUACCCCAUUCCGACCAUCAUCUUCAAAGGUCAACCGAAGACAUACCAGACUUUUUUGUUGGGAAUCGUGGGAGCCUUCAGUUUCUCAAUUGCUACCAUCUACAUACGCCAGCCCACUCCAAAGCUGGCUGCCUAUGUCAGACGAUUUGCUAUUUUCUCCAUGGCCUCUUCGCUAUCGCUUGCAUUGUGGGCUGCCGGUCCGGCCCAUUGGAUACUACCCCUUUAUAAUUGACAACUUCCUCCGUACCAUCAUCAGCACCACCUCUUUUUUUUUUUUUUUUUUUUACCCUUUUUCCAGUCUUUCUUUUGUUGCUUUGAAGUCUGCCGAGAUAACGAAAAUAUGUGUUUGGAUGGGGGUUUAUUUGAAAUAAUUAUUAUAAUAUAUUUUGUAAUGGGAUAUAUGUGAGAUAAAAAAUAAUUAAAAAAAUAAAGAAAUGUAUUGAAAUUUGUAUUGCAAAUUAUUUUUUCUCAAAUCAUUCCAAUCCAAACACUUAUAACUAGCCAAACACAAACCUUGUAUUUAGAGAAAUCGUGCAAUCGGCUUUCAAAUUAUUACUUUUGUAUGUUUUCCACCCUUCAUUUAUUUUAUAUAAUAAUUAAGCCUCUAUGUAAGAAUUUGGCCCUUCUUGUACCCAAAAAAAAAAAAAAAAAAAAGCAAACCGUUUGACCUCACUACACCACAGCCUUACACUAGCUUUAUUAUUCCUAGAAUUGAAAAAAAUAUAUAUAUAUAUAUAUAAAGGAUAAGAAAUCCAGUCAAGAGCUUACCGAUGCCUAAUGAACUGAGAAACCAUAAUUUGUUCUGUAUGGAUACAAAUGAGCUAUAUAUAGAUAUAUAUGGUCGUCUAUUAGUAGCAUUUUAGUUAUUUGUUGAUAGACAUGACUAUAUGAGAAACUUGAAUGAAGUACAUGAACAAGUGCUGCCAAUUAGGGAUGGCAAUUGGGUCCAAAUUGACUUAACGGGUUGGGUUGAGAUCCGGGUAUAAUAGAAAAUCCGCUGACCUGCAUCAAACCCGUCAACUCGAAACAGGUCAGAAUACCAGACUUGAACCCGAAAAUUUCGGGUUGACGGGUUGGCAGGUUGAUCCGAAAUGACCCGAAAUGACCCGAAAUUGAAUUUUAAUUUAUUAAUUUACCAUUGUAAUUUCUAAUAAAACCAAUUUUGCUCAAGACUAAUUACAUAAUCAAGUAAUAAAAUUUUAAAUAAAUAAUCCCAAAUCAAAUCUAAAAUAAAUAAAAACACCAUAAAAGUGUUUUAUCCCAAACCAAGUAUAAAAUAAAUUAAAACAAUACAAAAGUAAAAAAUAAUAUAAUACAUUAUUUAUCCAAAUAUAAUAAUUUCAACUUCACACAAGUAAAUUAAAUUCAUUUAGGAUUAAGUGAUUAAUGCCUUUGGAAAAAAAGAAUAACUUAGUUUAGUUAGAUAAAAUAAAUUUUAUAUUUAUUAUAUUAUUUUUAAUUCAUAAACGGGUUAUCGGGUCACCCAAUGGCUGACUCGAAUUCGACCCGUUUUCUUUUCGGGUUCAUCGGGUUCGACCUGAACCCACAAAACCUCAAGCCAAAUCCAUUAAUUUCGUGUUAGAUUCGUGUCGUAUUUUCAGGUCAUAUAAAAAAUUGCCACCCCUACUACCAAUGGACUAAAAAAAAAGUUAUCAGUAUUAUAUUUAGACUUCGUUUGACAAAUGAGUUUUGUGAGUGUUUGUUUAAAAUAUUACUAUAUCUUACUAUAAAAAUUGUAGAAAAAAUUUUUGAAGUGUAUAAAUUUUUCAAUAUUUUAAAAUGUAUAAUUUAAAAUUUUAAAAUUACUGUAAUUAAAAUUAUUAAAAAUUUUGCAACAGUCAAACGUGCUUGGCAAACCGGCCCUAGUCACCUAUCUUCUUGUUGUUUGUUUCAAAUCCCAUCGGGCCCAAGGUACACUACGCUUUCUCAACGCCAAUAAAAUAAAAUGCUAGUGGCAAAAACACUUGAAGAACUAUAUAGUUUUCCUUGGUUACUAUACAACAACCAGACAAACGAACGUAUCGCAGGAGAGAAAAAUCGUACGGAAAUAUCCCAUUCCUAAAUCCAUCCCCAGGGGAUAACUCACUCCCUUCAAUCUUUGCAUAUUACUCAGGGGAGUAGAUUCGUUUUUCUUUUAUUUUUUAUUUCUAUUUUGGGCUCUUUUGGGUUCACCAAGAACGGCUGCCCGUAUCGUUCUUAGCCGAUGGCGGAAGUCACCGACCUACGCCUCUCCGACCAACAAAAUCUAUCCGCCCCUGCCACCACUAUCGGCGACAGCGCCGUCGCCUUUGCGGAGGACGAGGAUGAGGAGCCACAACCCGAUGUUUACGCCUUAAAUUUCCAUUCCCUCUCUCCUCCUAAUCCUUCCUUCUUGAUUGAUGACAACCUCAAUUUCACCGCCAUUUCAGAAUCCGAAUCCGGCUCUCAGCAUUCCGAAUCUGUUCACUCCGACCAGAAUUUCCUCUACUACAGCCCAGAAGACGACGACGACGACGAUCAAAUGAAUUUCGUUACGGAUUUAUUCGCGACCCGCCAUGGUAUCCCCGACCAUGGACUGUGUAAUUCUGAAUCCGGGUGUACUUGUCUGGACGAAGAACCCGAAUUAGUUUUAGGUGCACAGGCCGAAUGCAAUGGGGUUGAUGCUCUUCCGUCAAUGGUCGGCGGUCUUCGAAUUGUGAACAUGGAAUCGGAGUCCGACUCGGAAGCUGCGGAGAUCCAUUCUAGGGUUGAUAGAGCAAAUGAUCAUGAUGGGUUGAAUCCAAAUUAUGAUGACUUGGACGAGUUUUGGGAUUGCCCGCAAUUUGAUAGUCAACGGGCGAGGGCUUUUUUUAACGAAGAAUUCGAAUGGGAGGAAGUGAAUGUUAGGGAAAAUCUGAGUUCUUUGAUUGAUCGAAUAGAGGAAAUUUCAGUUUCCUCUGACACUGAAAAUUCGACUUUUGAUACUGGUGGUGGAGAACAUGAUGAAGAAAAUGCAAGAAACGUGGAAUGGCAGGUCCUAUUAGCAGUUAACAAUCUGGAAAUAGCAGUUGGUUUUGAUGAAUAUAUCGUCCUGUUUGGGGAACAUGUUGAUGCAGAGAGUACUGUUAAGGGUGGUCCGCCAGCUGCCAAAUCCGUGGUUGAAAAUUUGCCUUCAGUAGUUUUGACGACGGAGGAUUUAAUGGCAAAUGAUGUGGUUUGUGCAGUUUGCAAAGAUGAGAUUUCUCUGGGGGUGGAGGUGACUAGGCUACCCUGUAGUCACCAUUAUCAUCAGGACUGCAUUAUGCCCUGGCUAAGCAUUCGUAAUACAUGUCCUCUUUGUCGCUUUGAGUUACCUACAGAUGAUGUGGAUUAUGAGAGAAGAAAGAAUAGAAAUGGCGCUGGCACUAGCCUGAUUGGUGAUUUGCAAUUUAGUAAUUAUCAACUUUUACCCUGAGAGUGUCCGUAGAUUGUCAAUUGUGGAGGAUAUCUUUAGGCAGAUGAUAUUUUAGGUCUUGGUGAAGAUACCGACGUUUUCUUCUUGUGCAUUUUCGAAUGUUGUAAUGGUAAAGUCACAAGCUUUACAGUUAGUGGAGUGUUACAUUGGGAAAUUUUGUGCUUUUUGCCAUUGAAUAAAUCAUGUCUUGUUGCGAUGUAAGUAUGAUAGAGAGUUACAUGUAGUGUAAAACCACUGUUUAUAUGAAUGAACCGUUUUAACUUUAUGGACCAUGGUUACGUUCUUUCUUCUUCCUUUGGCAUUUGAUUUCUCCGCUAGUGAAGCUGCAUGAGCUUCUGCACUUGGUGUUUUGCUGGUCCGGAUAUGGAUUGUGUUUUUAACGAAUUGGAUUUAUUUUCGACGUGUUUGUUGCAUCUUUGUUCUUAUAAUGAUUGCUAGGCUGUAAAAGUAGAGUUUUGGGGUUAUCAUCAGUUCAUUUCUCCUCCCAGGCUCAAUUUGAGAGGUAAAGUUUGUUGGCAGCUAGAUCUUUUGCAUGAGCGGUCAAGCUUUUAGCCUUUUGCACGAAUUGAUCGGGAGUUCUGUAAUCUACUCAGAUACAUUUUUUUGUUAAUUUGAACUGAAGAUUAUGAAGGUAAAGUAGUGCUGGUGCUUAAGUUCCUUUAAGUAAUAGUUCAAUACAGUUUAAAUACAUGAUUUGCUAUAACUGCAUGUGGCGCUGGCUCUUAAGCAUUUCAACAUACUUGAAGAACUGAGGGUCAACAUAUGGCCACCCAUUACAGGUGGGAAAUUUGAUCUGUCUUUUGGUACUUGAUGAAUUGACCAAGGUUAUGGACAUUAUGUGUAAUCUUAAGCUGAAGCUCUUUAUCCCACCAACUGCAUUCGAGUCUUUUUGACAUUUUAUUCAGUUCUCAUGCUGUUUAGCCAGCAGGAUACUUUGAAAUCUGCUAAGCUAGUUACUGAAAGUUGGCCAUCUACCACAGCCCUUUGCAUGCAGAUGGAUGAACCACCUUUUAGUAGCCUAUUCAUUUCCAUCUUUGUUUACAAUCUGUUGUUGACAAGCUCUGAUCUGAAUCCUUAUAACAUGAAUGUCUUCGUGUCUCUAUUUGGCAUCUGAAAUGUACCAAAAGCUCUUACGCUGUUUACAAUCUCUUGUGGUUUGUGGUAAAUGGCUGCUUUGUGGAUGCUUCUGAUUCUAGUUGUAUAUUUAAUUUAAAUCUGCUCCAAGGGUUGGGACAAUUUUUAUGAUAAAAAUGAAGAUACAGAUUUCUUCCCACACACUUUAGAAUGAAUGUGGAAUUAAACGAUGGUGCAAGGAAAAUAUUAUUGUGGCCAUCCUGGAACUUUUUAACUGUCUUUUUUUGUUUUUGUUGGCUCCGUCUUACAAAAUCAAGCUAGCUUUAUCCUGGUUAUAAAAGAUUCUUUGGGAGUUGGACGACAGAUACCAGGCAUUUGUAGCCAAAACGGGGGGAAGGAAAAAGACACAGGUUGCCUGAGAAAAAUGGAAUCCCAUGCAAAUGAAAACGAUGGGAUGGCUCCGGAUCCUCUGUCUACUUUGUCCGCCUAAAUCAGUACGACGUAGUGUUUGUCAAAAACUAUCUCGUGCAGCUCCUUGAAGACAAAACUUUAUCACCCUCAUCAUUCAUCGAGCAAAAUCCAGUCCUGCUUUUUUCAUUCAACAAUACAGCUACAAGAUUUAAUAAAAUUGUGUCUUCCAACCAUCCAACUACAAGAUCUAGUAAGCUUGUAUGAUUAAUCCUCUGAGUAUUAGAAGAACUCCUACACGACGACACCGCUGAAUCACCUGAGAUGACACCGCUGGGAUUUUGAUUGGUCUCUUAUAUGUCCACAUUUUGUGGUGCUCGACUUCUUUGUUUAUGGGAGAUACAGAUUAGUCCGGAGGAUGAUUCCCUCUGAACCGCCAUGAAUUGCAGUCGGUCGAACGUCAAAGCCACUUCAUUAAACUGGUAGUGUCACUUGGGCUCCUUUUGGGUAAACACUGCCAUUAAGGAGGAUGUAUGGUACUCACUAUUAAUAGUAGCAGCAUAUCAAGAAAGCGUUGAUGAAAAAAUAGAGGAGGGUGGGGGGUAUUAAACGCCCUUAUUUUUUUUUUUUAACUGAAACGGUAGUUUUUAUUGAUUGAAAACUAAACUGUACAAUUCUUGAGCAAAGGCUCAUCUUGAGCUUUACAAACAUGUACUAAGAUACGGAGGAAACCAACAUUCCUCAUCUUGUGUUAAACUAACAGCAUGAUUGCUAAUCAUUCUGCUUCUCUACUUCUUUUAAACGCCAUUACAAGUAGUCAUUUUUUACAAGAUUGGAUUUUCAAGGUCCGGCUGUUUGGCCUUCUGGUGCCCAAAGAGCCAAUCAAACAGAGCACUCAAAAUUGUCUAGAAGCCAGCUUGUGGCUUUGGCUAUUGCUAGUGGCUUUGAUUCAAAAAAAAAAAACAGGAUGUGUAUCAGAAGAGUGAAGACUAGGGAGGAGAGGGUAUUAAUGGCUUCAUUGAUUGUGGGAUUGAAUCAUUUAAAGCUAAUUGAAAUCAAAAGCUAAAGCUGAAUGAGGAUAGGGCUUCCGAAUAACUUUUUUUUAAAAAAAAAAUUGGGCUAUCCGCAAUUCUCAAGAGAGGAGGGAGCGAAAUCUCAAGAUCUCAUCUUGAUUGUAUAGGAGAAAUAAGUGAAAAUAUUAUUGAAAAUUCAGGCAUGAAAUUGCUUAACCUCAAGGCUUGUUAUGGUUGAUUAGAACUCGAGUAGCAUUAAGAUUGACUUUCUUCGCAACUGUAAUGCACCCGUGGACGGAAGUAAAAGUAAACUAACGGGGAAACACAUCGAGUUUUGCCCAUGAAGUUGCCUUGAUGGUAGGAAACCGUUUUUGAUAACAAGGAUUGAUGUUGCCAUGAUUCAGAAGCUAAAACUUUUCUGGUCUCACUCACUCACGGUUUUGGCUCGGGGUUGGGGGGUUUUUUGGGUUUGUCAAAGCCUCACUCAAGAUUGGGUCCUGAUCAAACCCCAAUAUACAUUCUCAUCAUUCACAAUUCGACGAGGAUUAUAUUCUUAUCAUGUCACAAAAUUAAGCAGGGUAGCAACAUGAUACCAAGCAAUGUCUAUACAUCAGGGUGCAUAUCAGCCCUCUAAUGUGAGGCUACUGCAAUUUAGCUUCAGGCAGAUUCUGAAACUGAUCCAGAGAGAACGGUGGAAUUUCUCUUCCAUCACAGUUUCCGAAAGUUCAAUAACCACGCAGCUGCUUUGAUGAUAUCCCUUAAAUUCUACCCACCGGAGUAACUUGCUGAAGGAAAACGCUAGUUUCAGAAAGUUGUCAUUCUAUAUAUACUAGAUUACGAAGUUUCAUAAUGGUUAUUUAGUUACGCCAGGCUCAUUAGCGUAUCAAGUAUUCAACUUUUCUUACUGGUACAUAUAUUGUUAUUUUUGUACGAGAGAGAGAGAGAGAGAGAUGAAUGGCCCAAUAAUUGAAUUGACGUGGAGAAGAAAGAAGUGUUUAACAGUAGUCCAUGAAGGCAGCAGCAACAACAACACAACUACAGGAUGGCUAAGAAGUCUUGUUUGGUCUAAAGAUUGUGCGAAAACGAAGUCCAUUUCCGAGCACCUUUAUCAUCCACAUUGUUAGUGGAUCACAACUUUUACAGCAAGUACGCAAGCAUAUGGACAUUACAUGCAAAUCAAUUCAUUUUACUACUAAAAUUGCAGCACCAAACCAACCGUUGCAUUACUUUGUAGAUUGCACGAAAGAUGGAAAUUGUAUUUAAAACAUACCACAAACAAAGGUGCCAUGAUAGAACUUGGAAAACAGUUAUAUAUAUAUAUAUAUAUAUAUACACACGGAAAAAGUCCAAAACAAAAGCAAGAAGGCCGGGAUGAAGUAGAAAAGAUGCUACUGCAGAUGAUGAUUUUAUCCUGUCUCGACCAAUCUCUCGAGAUUACUUGAUGUCACUCAAAACAGGAAGACACAAUGAGGUAACACAAGGACAGAUUCAAGAUUAAAGAGGCUAUAUAAACGUCUAAAACACUAUAGCAAACUUUACUACUGUCUUCUUCUCCAGAAUAUAAAACAAUGGCAAUGGCACUUUCCGCCCUCCAAAAUUGCAGCAAGGAAUCUUAGGCUAGGAAGAUUUUCAGAUGUCAAGUUGGUUGCAUCUUUGUUUGAUGCUUAAUAACGAGGAUCAGCAACCAGCCGAACAAUGCGGUAUGGUAACAAUAAUAAUAUGUUACUCUCGAGUCUCGAACAAAGAUGAUUCAGUUUUUUGUAAUGCUUGUCAUAUCCCGAUUCUUGAAAUUCUAUUCAUGUCAGAUAAAAGUAGGAGCUAAGCAAUUUGCAGCUAAAAGGUGCUACUCUCAUCUAAAUUAGCACAACAGAUAAGAAAAAUGGCGUUUUCAACUUGAAAUGCUCUCCAAACUGGACUAGCAUAUGAUUUGGCCUGAGGAAGAUAAUACAUCACAGUUCCAACCAGCAAGGACGGUAACCUGAUUGGGCUGAACACAUGAUUGUCGCACGGAACCGUGUAAAAUGACAACCACGAGAGAAAAAAUGCGAAGGUUGGUUGAAUGGGGUGCACAAAUGGGUCGCACAUGGUACAAGUGACAGUACUGCAAACUGGGGAGUCCCAUCACCUCACUUCACAGCACCUGAAUAAAAGGCUCGUCAGUAACAGUACCAAAACUCUGCGAUGUGGGUGUCAAACUGUAUGGGGGCGCCUCCUGAGUUCCCACGCCUGGGCCUGGCCAAUGGGUGAAGGUGAUUGACAGCCAAUUGAAAGUAUGGUUGGGAAGGGGGGCGGUGCUAAAGCUCUAACGAAUCGAGUUAUCUGCGAGCGUGUUUGUACAUGACCCGUUUAAAUUUAAAAAAACAUUCGAUCAUUUAAUGAAUUAACCGAGUUUGAGCGCAAUAUUAGACGCGUUUAAUAAUCGAGCAGUGGAGUACGAAUCUAAUAGUUCGUAAAUACAUUUAUAAUUAUAAAUAUAAAUAUCAAUACGUCUAAUAUUAUUAGACAUAUAUUAUAUUUUACUGAAAAAGCAAUUAUACAUAAAUUAGAAUUAUUUAUUUUUAAAAAAAAUCAAUAAAUACAACUAAACUUAUUCUAAAUAAUGCAUUAUUUAUUAAAAAUAUAAUUAAAUAAUCUUCAAAAUCAAAUAUUUACGAAUCAAAUUCAAAUAAUAUUUAUAAUUCAUUAAUAUUUGAGUCGUGCUCGAAUCUUGCUCUAGAUUGAGGCGCACACGACGUCCACACGCCCUCGCCUUGAAUUGGCUCAUUGAAAGCUCUAGGUUGCAGCGCACACGACGUCCACACGCCCUUGUUAGCAGGGACCCAUGGGUUUUUUUUUUUUUUUUUUUUUUGGUCAAAAAGAAAAAAAAAAUCCCAUUUUCAAGGGCAGUUGUCUCUAUUUGGUCUAUUAUUUGCCCUUGAAAUUUCGUUGUCUCGCAGAUGCUUCUCCUCUCUCUCAUGAUUACGCUUUUGGAUUUUUAUCCGUGAAUUUUGCAUUCUGAAGGGGGCAAUGUAUUAUGCGAAAAGGAGUAAUUGGAUACGGUGUAUGAUCAUGUAGAGGGAGGGAUAAGAUAUGGUUACUGAAUUGAGGGCCUCGAAGUGAAGUGGUGGUAAUAUGUUACUAUAUAAAAUCAUUUCUUUCCCAUCUCAGCGGGGCGGGGCGGGGCGGGGUGCUUGCGCUAGCUUUUCUUGUCUCGUCUGCCUCACCUUUUUUACCCCCCUUUUGAUUUAAUGGGGAGAAAUAAAAUUAGAAAAGCCGAAAAGAAUUGUAAAGGGCAGAAAACGUCAAACCCACAAUUGAAAGUGGACGAUAGAUAUUUUGCGUCGCAUUCUUUCGGUAACCUCAUCCCAGAUGCAAAAGUUUGCUAGAUAGUUCUUGGAUUGUGCAGCAACUGGCUCUUUGUUUUUUUGCUACUACAAGACGUGAUACCAUGACAAUAAAGUAGACAAGUGGAUCACUCCCAAGCAUUUGAGAGGCUCUUGUUGAAAGGGCAAAAAACGAAAGAAAUCCUCCAAAGGCCCUGUUGCUCGGCUUCCUAAUUUUCUUGCGCCAGGAAAAUCGUUAUAUUAUUUGGUCUCUGCACAAAAGUUAUUUGAAAGAUUUUGCACUCCAAAAGGUUCUGGCAGUGUAAAUGAAGCGAUUGACGGGACGAAAAAACCGAGGAUCGAGCAAAAUUCAAUAAUGCGUCUAGAUUAUGAGAAAAGGAGAAAUGCGCUUGAUUGCCAUCCCCUAUUAAGGUCAGCAGAAAAGGUGAAGAUGAUAGAAAGAAAGGAUCUCAGGCAGAUAAUAAAAUGAAGGCAAGGAUAAAGAUGAAGGCAUUAGAGUUUGAAUGAUCCAGGUCACUUUUGCUUGCAAGAUUGGAAUUGUUGGAAAACUAACAUCAGCAACUUUAAAGCAACACACACACACACACACACUCGCAUAUUAAAACUUGAGAGACAGAGCAACUGUUCCAGCAAUCAUGGAUUGUCUUUGGAAAAGAAAAAGGAGAAAGAAAAAAGAACCUAGAAAGGAAAUACUACUGAAAAGUUGGAACACGGAAACAACAAUGUAAAGACAGCGAUGAAGUAUGAGUCAAUAUCUGUCUCAUGAAUUUUUUGACCGUUCAGCCCACUCAACUUGGCCAACAUACAUGAAGUAGGGAGAGAGCAUUUGCCUCCAUAGGCUUUUGGCUCUGGAUGCAUACAAAGUUCCUUUUAUUAGUGGAAGACUACAUUUCAAAGUACAUUCAUAUCUUUCCCCUUAUCAUCCUCCCACCAACAUUAAUUGUAACGCGAAUUUAUACAUACCAUAGAACUUUAUAACUUGUGUGGCCAACAUUCAGUAUCAACUUAUCUAAAUCAACAAAAACCCAAGGAACAGAUGAUUAUAUAUAUAUGUAUACAUAUAAAGAAACAACAAGGAGGAGGAGAAGAGCGAGUUUUGAGUCCCAAAUAUGAUAUGGUGCAAUGCAGGAUAUUCUUUCUUAUGUUUUUAUUUUCUGUUUGGUAAAGCUAUGGGAUCAACCACCAUAAUACCCCUAUAAUCUUUUAAGCUUUCUUCCCCACUGCAAAAGCUUAGAAGAUUUGGAUUCCCCAGUUAGUACAUGUCCAAAAACUUUUUGACUGCCACGGCACACCUCAGGACUUGAUAAACUUUUACUCUUUACUUUCUGAAUUCCCCUGUAACAUAUUUCAGCAGACAAAACCAGCAAUGCAGGACAUUCUUAGUUAUGCUUUUAUUUUCUUUUUGGGAAAGCAAUGGGAUCAUCAGCCACAACACCCCUAUAAUCUUUAAACCUUUCUUUCCUACUGCAAAAGCUUAGAAGAUUUGGAUUCCCCAGUUAGUACAUGUCCAAAAACUUUUUUGACUGGCAAACCUCAGGACUUUAAAAACUUUUACUAUUUACUUUCUCCCGUAACAUAUUUCAGGAGACAAAGCCAUUCUAGUUUAGCCUUCCACUGCAUUCCAGUUAUGAAGUACCAGUUAUAUGAGAAAUCGCCAAUCCACUAAGUUAGUUUCCUCAGACAAAACUACUGUAAUAGUUCUUACUUGAGUUUUGUCCUUUUAAUUCCAUUGCAACUUACGCAUAUCUAUAUAUUAUUUGACAAGACAGCGUACUGGACAAUUCAACUUUGAUCAAGCCUUUACAAGUAAUUAAACUAAAAUGCCAGAGAAUUUUGUGGAGAAACAAGCAACUGCCUGUAUGAAUUUUUUUUUUUUUUCCCCACAUUAGAUCAGAUUAAAAGAAUCCCUCCAACUAGAAUCCUUCCAUCAAAGUGCCAUUAUAACUAUGGUCCGUGAUUUGAGAUAAUCAAAUAUAACUUUGAAAUAAAAGAAACAAAUUGUGUUAUUUUUUCCAAAAUGGAUCACAUGAAAGUGGUUGUUGAGUCAUUAAUUUUUUAUUUGUUCCACUUAUAGAAAGGACUUGUCCCACUUAUAGAAAGGACUUUCCUUCCCUUACCUCUUUCCUCCCAUGGCCUCGUUCUCCUAUAUCUUUACGUCACUGCACCUUGUUGGGCAAGAACCACUGCAGAGUAAUAAAGAUGUCAAGUUAGCUUGCUUUGCAACAACUAGCAAUUUUAAAUUGACUUCUUCAUCCGUAUUAUUCAAUUGCUUUUUUCUCUUCCAAAAACUUUCUAGCUUUUGAAUAAUGAUACUCUCCAUGAUAUUCUGUGUGCACGCAUGUGUAUGUGAUGUGAGCAUUGUUUGAUGUCACCAAUUAUCCACAACACUUAAAUUUCCAAUAUCUUUUGGACCUGCAUACAUCAGAUCAGAUACAAUUCGUAAGUCCCAAAUGACCAUAUUGGACAGAAGUAAAGGUUAGAUGUAUACAUAUAUCCGUAAGUUUUGGUAUCAAUGCAGAAAUGUAAUACAACACAACUUAUGCACGCAUUCAGCAUCAUAUUCGAGUAGUCUUGUCUUUAAGAAACUUCACUGUUUAAGAAAUGGGACCGCAACAUUUUUACCAUCCUAUAAAACCCCUCUCCUGGAUGUUUGCCUUCGCCUUCCAACACCAAUAUUAUAUGAUCAGGUCCAGAACCUUGUUACAUACAUAAAUCAAUUAACUAGCAGAAACCAUGCAGUCAGGUGAUGCAACAGAGUUGUAUUAUCUGCUUACUUCAAAUCCAACUCAAUACCCUUCUCAUUUUGGCUUGAACAACAAUAACAUGCCUUCUUUCAACCUUAGCAGAAUUUCAAACCCUUUGUGCCACCUUCAGAUCAAUCCCCAGAUUCAAGACUUCAACCCGCAGAUGGCAUCUUUCAGCUGCAAUUCAACUUCAGAUGAAGCAGAUGAUCAACAACUAAGUAUAAUAAAUGAAAGAAAGCAGAGAAGGAUGAUUUCCAAUAGAGAAUCUGCACGAAGAUCACGUAUGCGCAAGCAAAAGCAUCUUGAUGAGCUAUGGUCCCAGGUUGUUUGGCUCCGUAAUGAGAAUCAUCAGCUGAUAGAUAAACUGAACCAUGCUUCAGAAUGUCAUGAUCGUGUACUUCAAGAGAACACUCAACUCAACUUAUUAAUGCUAAGUAAAAGAGCAAAAUUAAAUAGAAAACAAAAAAGAAGGAUUUAAAAAAUCAAGAAUGGUACCAUCCAUGAAAUCACUAAAUAAAAACAAAGUAAUACUGGCCUUUUAACUUGGAAUUUUUUUUUAAAUAUUCAUUUUCGAUAAAAAUAAUGAUAAUAACAACACCAAUUCUACCAACAAAAUUUUAAAAAAUAAUAUUAUAGUUUAAGAGAAAAAUAUAGAACAUUCGACCCUAAAAUACUACUUAAUUUGUAUAUAUAUCUGGCCCAAAUUUGACCCUGAUUAGAUUUGAAUAAGAGUGUAAAACCCAAACACUAAGGAUAACUUUUGGUAUUAUUAAUUAUUUUAUGUAUUCUUAUUGUUGUCUUCAUAUGUAAAUAUGUAUUUUCUAUAUUAAAUAUAUAUACAUAUAUAUAUUGAUUGUAGUACUUGAGGAUAUUAUAGAUAUUACCAGUUUUCAUUUUCAUAUUUAGAUACUAAUAAUUGCAACCAUUGCAAUCAAUUUUCAAUUUUAUAUUUUUCAUUAUGAUAGAUAAAGUUAAAUAUAUUGGGUCGAAGGGAUAUGAAUUUAGAGAUUGGGUAUGGGGGAGGAGGAAGGGAAAAAAAUGGUGAGGAGUUGAAAAGUGGCGAGAAAGGUUGAAGAAAAAAUGUGGGUUACAAGGAUGGGCGGAAAAAGGAGAGAAGAAAAAGGGGGAUUGUCGGAAUAUAACAGAUAUGACAAAAAAAAAAAAUAGAGAGAGUGGUACCAUGAUAGAAAAUAUGAAAGUCAAGGAGGCAUCUCAUGACUAGCCAGCGGAUAAGAGAAGAGGGAAAUGAUGAUGAUUUUUAAUAAUUUUGAGAACUCUAAAAACAUAUAUUACAGAGAUUUCUUUUAAUAUAUGUUAAAGUUUAUGAAAAAUGCUAAUCUAAAUGCAGUCAACAAUCUUAGCGGUACAAGAUAGAAGAAAUAUUUUUUUCUAAAAUGGAAGAAAAUAAAUUGGUUAUAAUUUUUUAUAUUAUAAGUUUUGAUAUAUGGGUAUAACAUAAGAUGUUUUGUCAGGUACUGAUACAUUGAUUUUUUUUUAAGAAAACUCUUUUCACCUUACCACCCAACCUAACCCUCUCCUUAAAUGUGUUAACAAUUCAUCUAUCAUGUAAAUCAUUAUAAAUUAAAAUUUUUUCAAUAUGUCAAGCAUACACUUCUUUAAAAUUUUUAGUCUAUAUAUAUAUAUAUUAUUCUGUACCACAAUAUAUAAAGAUAUACAAUAUUAUUUUGAUUUGAAAUAUAAUCCCGUGCAUAGCACGGGUCAAAAUACUAGUGCUAAAGAACCGAAAGAAGGGUCAUCGCGUCGGUUUCUAGGAAACUUCGAGGAACGGGCGAAGAACAACGGACGGAAAAGAAGUCAAGGCCUGAAGGGUCAUCUGCAUCUUCUUUGCUAGGACUAGGAAACUUGGAAGAAAUUGCCAAUCUGUCUUUGUAGGAAGUAUAAAAAUUUCGCACUGGCCUAGCCCAGAAAAACAAUUGACACACACAAAAAACACAAACACAAACUGGGGAGAGAGAUUUGGAAGUAGAUAGCAUUUCCAAGAUGGUGGAGAUGGAAGAAGUAAAAUCACCAAAAUCAUCAACCACAGACCAAUUACCAUUCAGCAGCCCCACCAGGUGGGGAUGCGAGGAAUAUAUUCUGUUCAUUUCUUACGUCAUAGGCAUGUCGGUAAGGUAUCUGCCGGCGGAGGACAUCGACGGUUACCCCAUUCCGACCAUCAUCUUCAAAGGUCAACCGAAGACAUACCAGACUUUUUUGUUGGGAAUCGUGGGAGCCUUCAGUUUCUCAAUUGCUACCAUCUACAUACGCCAGCCCACUCCAAAGCUGGCUGCCUAUGUCAGACGAUUUGCUAUUUUCUCCAUGGCCUCUUCGCUAUCGCUUGCAUUGUGGGCUGCCGGUCCGGCCCAUUGGAUACUACCCCUUUAUAAUUGACAACUUCCUCCGUACCAUCAUCAGCACCACCUCUUUUUUUUUUUUUUUUUUUACCCUUUUUCCAGUCUUUCUUUUGUGCUUUGAAGUCUGCCGAGAUAACGAAAAUAUGUGUUUGGAUGGGGGUUUAUUUGAAAUAAUUAUUAUAAUAUAUUUUGUAAUGGGAUAUAUGUGAGAUAAAAAAUAAUUAAAAAAAUAAAGAAAUGUAUUGAAAUUUGUAUUGCAAAUUAUUUUUUCUCAAAUCAUUCCAAUCCAAACACUUAUAACUAGCCAAACACAAACCUUGUAUUUAGAGAAAUCGUGCAAUCGGCUUUCAAAUUAUUACUUUUGUAUGUUUUCCACCCUUCAUUUAUUUUAUAUAAUAAUUAAGCCUCUAUGUAAGAAUUUGGCCCUUCUUGUACCCAAAAAAAAAAAAAAAAAAACAAACCGUUUGACCUCACUACACCACAGCCUUACACUAGCUUUAUUAUUCCUAGAAUUGAAAAAAAUAUAUAUAUAUAUAUAAAGGAUAAGAAAUCCAGUCAAGAGCUUACCGAUGCCUAAUGAACUGAGAAACCAUAAUUUGUUCUGUAUGGAUACAAAUGAGCUAUAUAUAGAUAUAUAUGGUCGUCUAUUAGUAGCAUUUUAGUUAUUUGUUGAUAGACAUGACUAUAUGAGAAACUUGAAUGAAGUACAUGAACAAGUGCUGCCAAUUAGGGAUGGCAAUUGGGUCCAAAUUGACUUAACGGGUUGGGUUGAGAUCCGGGUAUAAUAGAAAAUCCGCUGACCUGCAUCAAACCCGUCAACUCGAAACAGGUCAGAAUACCAGACUUGAACCCGAAAAUUUCGGUUGACGGGUUGGCAGGUUGAUCCGAAAUGACCCGAAAUGACCCGAAAUUGAAUUUUAAUUUAUUAAUUUACCAUUGUAAUUUCUAAUAAAACCAAUUUUGCUCAAGACUAAUUACAUAAUCAAGUAAUAAAAUUUUAAAUAAAUAAUCCCAAAUCAAAUCUAAAAUAAAUAAAAACACCAUAAAAGUGUUUUAUCCCAAACCAAGUAUAAAAUAAAUUAAAACAAUACAAAAGUAAAAAAUAAUAUAAUACAUUAUUUAUCCAAAUAUAAUAAUUUCAACUUCACACAAGUAAAUUAAAUUCAUUUAGGAUUAAGUGAUUAAUGCCUUUGGAAAAAAGAAUAACUUAGUUUAGUUAGAUAAAAUAAAUUUUAUAUUUAUUAUAUUAUUUUUAAUUCAUAAACGGGUUAUCGGGUCACCCAAUGGCUGACUCGAAUUCGACCCGUUUUCUUUUCGGGUUCAUCGGGUUCGACCUGAACCCACAAAACCUCAAGCCAAAUCCAUUAAUUUCGUGUUAGAUUCGUGUCGUAUUUUCAGGUCAUAUAAAAAAUUGCCACCCCUACUACCAAUGGACUAAAAAAAAAGUUAUCAGUAUUAUAUUUAGACUUCGUUUGACAAAUGAGUUUUGUGAGUGUUUGUUUAAAAUAUUACUAUAUCUUACUAUAAAAAUUGUAGAAAAAAUUUUUGAAGUGUAUAAAUUUUUCAAUAUUUUAAAAUGUAUAAUUUAAAAUUUUAAAAUUACUGUAAUUAAAAUUAUUAAAAAUUUGCAACAGUCAAACGUGCUUGGCAAACCGGCCCUAGUCACCUAUCUUCUUGUUGUUUGUUUCAAAUCCCAUCGGGCCCAAGGUACACUACGCUUUCUCAACGCCAAUAAAAUAAAAUGCUAGUGGCAAAAACACUUGAAGAACUAUAUAGUUUUCCUUGGUUACUAUACAACAACCAGACAAACGAACGUAUCGCAGGAGAGAAAAAUCGUACGGAAAUAUCCCAUUCCUAAAUCCAUCCCCAGGGAUAACUCACUCCCUUCAAUCUUUGCAUAUUACUCAGGGGAGUAGAUUCGUUUUUCUUUUAUUUUUUUUUCUAUUUUGGGCUCUUUUGGGUUCACCAAGAACGGCUGCCCGUAUCGUUCUUAGCCGAUGGCGGAAGUCACCGACCUACGCCUCUCCGACCAACAAAAUCUAUCCGCCCCUGCCACCACUAUCGGCGACAGCGCCGUCGCCUUUGCGGAGGACGAGGAUGAGGAGCCACAACCCGAUGUUUACGCCUUAAAUUUCCAUUCCCUCUCUCCUCCUAAUCCUUCCUUCUUGAUUGAUGACAACCUCAAUUUCACCGCCAUUUCAGAAUCCGAAUCCGGCUCUCAGCAUUCCGAAUCUGUUCACUCCGACCAGAAUUUCCUCUACUACAGCCCAGAAGACGACGACGACGACGAUCAAAUGAAUUUCGUUACGGAUUUAUUCGCGACCCGCCAUGGUAUCCCCGACCAUGGACUGUGUAAUUCUGAAUCCGGGUGUACUUGUCUGGACGAAGAACCCGAAUUAGUUUUAGGUGCACAGGCCGAAUGCAAUGGGGUUGAUGCUCUUCCGUCAAUGGUCGGCGGUCUUCGAAUUGUGAACAUGGAAUCGGAGUCCGACUCGGAAGCUGCGGAGAUCCAUUCUAGGGUUGAUAGAGCAAAUGAUCAUGAUGGGUUGAAUCCAAAUUAUGAUGACUUGGACGAGUUUUGGGAUUGCCCGCAAUUUGAUAGUCAACGGGCGAGGGCUUUUUUUAACGAAGAAUUCGAAUGGGAGGAAGUGAAUGUUAGGGAAAAUCUGAGUUCUUUGAUUGAUCGAAUAGAGGAAAUUUCAGUUUCCUCUGACACUGAAAAUUCGACUUUUGAUACUGGUGGUGGAGAACAUGAUGAAGAAAAUGCAAGAAACGUGGAAUGGCAGGUCCUAUUAGCAGUUAACAAUCUGGAAAUAGCAGUUGGUUUUGAUGAAUAUAUCGUCCUGUUUGGGGAACAUGUUGAUGCAGAGAGUACUGUUAAGGGUGGUCCGCCAGCUGCCAAAUCCGUGGUUGAAAAUUUGCCUUCAGUAGUUUUGACGACGGAGGAUUUAAUGGCAAAUGAUGUGGUUUGUGCAGUUUGCAAAGAUGAGAUUUCUCUGGGGGUGGAGGUGACUAGGCUACCCUGUAGUCACCAUUAUCAUCAGGACUGCAUUAUGCCCUGGCUAAGCAUUCGUAAUACAUGUCCUCUUUGUCGCUUUGAGUUACCUACAGAUGAUGUGGAUUAUGAGAGAAGAAAGAAUAGAAAUGGCGCUGGCACUAGCCUGAUUGGUGAUUUGCAAUUUAGUAAUUAUCAACUUUUACCCUGAGAGUGUCCGUAGAUUGUCAAUUGUGGAGGAUAUCUUUAGGCAGAUGAUAUUUUAGGUCUUGGUGAAGAUACCGACGUUUUCUUCUUGUGCAUUUUCGAAUGUUGUAAUGGUAAAGUCACAAGCUUUACAGUUAGUGGAGUGUUACAUUGGGAAAUUUUGUGCUUUUUGCCAUUGAAUAAAUCAUGUCUUGUUGCGAUGUAAGUAUGAUAGAGAGUUACAUGUAGUGUAAAACCACUGUUUAUAUGAAUGAACCGUUUUAACUUUAUGGACCAUGGUUACGUUCUUUCUUCUUCCUUUGGCAUUUGAUUUCUCCGCUAGUGAAGCUGCAUGAGCUUCUGCACUUGGUGUUUUGCUGGUCCGGAUAUGGAUUGUGUUUUUAACGAAUUGGAUUUAUUUUCGACGUGUUUGUUGCAUCUUUGUUCUUAUAAUGAUGCUAGGCUGUAAAAGUAGAGUUUUGGGGUUAUCAUCAGUUCAUUUCUCCUCCCAGGCUCAAUUUGAGAGGUAAAGUUUGUUGGCAGCUAGAUCUUUUGCAUGAGCGGUCAAGCUUUUAGCCUUUUGCACGAAUUGAUCGGGAGUUCUGUAAUCUACUCAGAUACAUUUUUUUGUUAAUUUGAACUGAAGAUUAUGAAGGUAAAGUAGUGCUGGUGCUUAAGUUCCUUUAAGUAAUAGUUCAAUACAGUUUAAAUACAUGAUUUGCUAUAACUGCAUGUGGCGCUGGCUCUUAAGCAUUUCAACAUACUUGAAGAACUGAGGGUCAACAUAUGGCCACCCAUUACAGGUGGGAAAUUUGAUCUGUCUUUUGGUACUUGAUGAAUUGACCAAGGUUAUGGACAUUAUGUGUAAUCUUAAGCUGAAGCUCUUUAUCCCACCAACUGCAUUCGAGUCUUUUUGACAUUUUAUUCAGUUCUCAUGCUGUUUAGCCAGCAGGAUACUUUGAAAUCUGCUAAGCUAGUUACUGAAAGUUGGCCAUCUACCACAGCCCUUUGCAUGCAGAUGGAUGAACCACCUUUUAGUAGCCUAUUCAUUUCCAUCUUUGUUUACAAUCUGUUGUUGACAAGCUCUGAUCUGAAUCCUUAUAACAUGAAUGUCUUCGUGUCUCUAUUUGGCAUCUGAAAUGUACCAAAAGCUCUUACGCUGUUUACAAUCUCUUGUGGUUUGUGGUAAAUGGCUGCUUUGUGGAUGCUUCUGAUUCUAGUUGUAUAUUUAAUUUAAAUCUGCUCCAAGGGUUGGGACAAUUUUUAUGAUAAAAAUGAAGAUACAGAUUUCUUCCCACACACUUUAGAAUGAAUGUGGAAUUAAACGAUGGUGCAAGGAAAAUAUUAUUGUGGCCAUCCUGGAACUUUUUAACUGUCUUUUUUUGUUUUUGUUGGCUCCGUCUUACAAAAUCAAGCUAGCUUUAUCCUGGUUAUAAAAGAUUCUUUGGGAGUUGGACGACAGAUACCAGGCAUUUGUAGCCAAAACGGGGGAAGGAAAAAGACACAGGUUGCCUGAGAAAAAUGGAAUCCCAUGCAAAUGAAAACGAUGGAUGGCUCCGGAUCCUCUGUCUACUUUGUCCGCCUAAAUCAGUACGACGUAGUGUUUGUCAAAAACUAUCUCGUGCAGCUCCUUGAAGACAAAACUUUAUCACCCUCAUCAUUCAUCGAGCAAAAUCCAGUCCUGCUUUUUUCAUUCAACAAUACAGCUACAAGAUUUAAUAAAAUUGUGUCUUCCAACCAUCCAACUACAAGAUCUAGUAAGCUUGUAUGAUUAAUCCUCUGAGUAUUAGAAGAACUCCUACACGACGACACCGCUGAAUCACCUGAGAUGACACCGCUGGGAUUUUGAUUGGUCUCUUAUAUGUCCACAUUUUGUGGUGCUCGACUUCUUUGUUUAUGGGAGAUACAGAUUAGUCCGGAGGAUGAUUCCCUCUGAACCGCCAUGAAUUGCAGUCGGUCGAACGUCAAAGCCACUUCAUUAAACUGGUAGUGUCACUUGGGCUCCUUUUGGGUAAACACUGCCAUUAAGGAGGAUGUAUGGUACUCACUAUUAAUAGUAGCAGCAUAUCAAGAAAGCGUUGAUGAAAAAAUAGAGGAGGGUGGGGGUAUUAAACGCCCUUAUUUUUUUUUUUUAACUGAAACGGUAGUUUUUAUUGAUUGAAAACUAAACUGUACAAUUCUUGAGCAAAGGCUCAUCUUGAGCUUUACAAACAUGUACUAAGAUACGGAGGAAACCAACAUUCCUCAUCUUGUGUUAAACUAACAGCAUGAUUGCUAAUCAUUCUGCUUCUCUACUUCUUUUAAACGCCAUUACAAGUAGUCAUUUUUUACAAGAUUGGAUUUUCAAGGUCCGGCUGUUUGGCCUUCUGGUGCCCAAAGAGCCAAUCAAACAGAGCACUCAAAAUUGUCUAGAAGCCAGCUUGUGGCUUUGGCUAUUGCUAGUGGCUUUGAUUCAAAAAAAAAAACAGGAUGUGUAUCAGAAGAGUGAAGACUAGGGAGGAGAGGGUAUUAAUGGCUUCAUUGAUUGUGGGAUUGAAUCAUUUAAAGCUAAUUGAAAUCAAAAGCUAAAGCUGAAUGAGGAUAGGGCUUCCGAAUAACUUUUUUUAAAAAAAAAAUUGGGCUAUCCGCAAUUCUCAAGAGAGGAGGGAGCGAAAUCUCAAGAUCUCAUCUUGAUUGUAUAGGAGAAAUAAGUGAAAAUAUUAUUGAAAAUUCAGGCAUGAAAUUGCUUAACCUCAAGGCUUGUUAUGGUUGAUUAGAACUCGAGUAGCAUUAAGAUUGACUUUCUUCGCAACUGUAAUGCACCCGUGGACGGAAGUAAAAGUAAACUAACGGGGAAACACAUCGAGUUUUGCCCAUGAAGUUGCCUUGAUGGUAGGAAACCGUUUUUGAUAACAAGGAUUGAUGUUGCCAUGAUUCAGAAGCUAAAACUUUUCUGGUCUCACUCACUCACGGUUUUGGCUCGGGGUUGGGGGGUUUUUUGGGUUUGUCAAAGCCUCACUCAAGAUUGGGUCCUGAUCAAACCCCAAUAUACAUUCUCAUCAUUCACAAUUCGACGAGGAUUAUAUUCUUAUCAUGUCACAAAAUUAAGCAGGGUAGCAACAUGAUACCAAGCAAUGUCUAUACAUCAGGGUGCAUAUCAGCCCUCUAAUGUGAGGCUACUGCAAUUUAGCUUCAGGCAGAUUCUGAAACUGAUCCAGAGAGAACGGUGGAAUUUCUCUUCCAUCACAGUUUCCGAAAGUUCAAUAACCACGCAGCUGCUUUGAUGAUAUCCCUUAAAUUCUACCCACCGGAGUAACUUGCUGAAGGAAAACGCUAGUUUCAGAAAGUUGUCAUUCUAUAUAUACUAGAUUACGAAGUUUCAUAAUGGUUAUUUAGUUACGCCAGGCUCAUUAGCGUAUCAAGUAUUCAACUUUUCUUACUGGUACAUAUAUUGUUAUUUUUGUACGAGAGAGAGAGAGAGAGAGAUGAAUGGCCCAAUAAUUGAAUUGACGUGGAGAAGAAAGAAGUGUUUAACAGUAGUCCAUGAAGGCAGCAGCAACAACAACACAACUACAGGAUGGCUAAGAAGUCUUGUUUGGUCUAAAGAUUGUGCGAAAACGAAGUCCAUUUCCGAGCACCUUUAUCAUCCACAUUGUUAGUGGAUCACAACUUUUACAGCAAGUACGCAAGCAUAUGGACAUUACAUGCAAAUCAAUUCAUUUUACUACUAAAAUUGCAGCACCAAACCAACCGUUGCAUUACUUUGUAGAUUGCACGAAAGAUGGAAAUUGUAUUUAAAACAUACCACAAACAAAGGUGCCAUGAUAGAACUUGGAAAACAGUUAUAUAUAUAUAUAUAUAUAUAUAUACACACGGAAAAAGUCCAAAACAAAAGCAAGAAGGCCGGGAUGAAGUAGAAAAGAUGCUACUGCAGAUGAUGAUUUUAUCCUGUCUCGACCAAUCUCUCGAGAUUACUUGAUGUCACUCAAAACAGGAAGACACAAUGAGGUAACACAAGGACAGAUUCAAGAUUAAAGAGGCUAUAUAAACGUCUAAAACACUAUAGCAAACUUUACUACUGUCUUCUUCUCCAGAAUAUAAAACAAUGGCAAUGGCACUUUCCGCCCUCCAAAAUUGCAGCAAGGAAUCUUAGGCUAGGAAGAUUUUCAGAUGUCAAGUUGGUUGCAUCUUUGUUUGAUGCUUAAUAACGAGGAUCAGCAACCAGCCGAACAAUGCGGUAUGGUAACAAUAAUAAUAUGUUACUCUCGAGUCUCGAACAAAGAUGAUUCAGUUUUUUGUAAUGCUUGUCAUAUCCCGAUUCUUGAAAUUCUAUUCAUGUCAGAUAAAAGUAGGAGCUAAGCAAUUUGCAGCUAAAAGGUGCUACUCUCAUCUAAAUUAGCACAACAGAUAAGAAAAAUGGCGUUUUCAACUUGAAAUGCUCUCCAAACUGGACUAGCAUAUGAUUUGGCCUGAGGAAGAUAAUACAUCACAGUUCCAACCAGCAAGGACGGUAACCUGAUUGGGCUGAACACAUGAUUGUCGCACGGAACCGUGUAAAAUGACAACCACGAGAGAAAAAAUGCGAAGGUUGGUUGAAUGGGGUGCACAAAUGGGUCGCACAUGGUACAAGUGACAGUACUGCAAACUGGGGAGUCCCAUCACCUCACUUCACAGCACCUGAAUAAAAGGCUCGUCAGUAACAGUACCAAAACUCUGCGAUGUGGGUGUCAAACUGUAUGGGGGCGCCUCCUGAGUUCCCACGCCUGGGCCUGGCCAAUGGGUGAAGGUGAUUGACAGCCAAUUGAAAGUAUGGUUGGGAAGGGGGGCGGUGCUAAAGCUCUAACGAAUCGAGUUAUCUGCGAGCGUGUUUGUACAUGACCCGUUUAAAUUUAAAAAAACAUUCGAUCAUUUAAUGAAUUAACCGAGUUUGAGCGCAAUAUUAGACGCGUUUAAUAAUCGAGCAGUGGAGUACGAAUCUAAUAGUUCGUAAAUACAUUUAUAAUUAUAAAUAUAAAUAUCAAUACGUCUAAUAUUAUUAGACAUAUAUUAUAUUUUACUGAAAAAGCAAUUAUACAUAAAUUAGAAUUAUUUAUUUUUAAAAAAAAUCAAUAAAUACAACUAAACUUAUUCUAAAUAAUGCAUUAUUUAUUAAAAAUAUAAUUAAAUAAUCUUCAAAAUCAAAUAUUUACGAAUCAAAUUCAAAUAAUAUUUAUAAUUCAUUAAUAUUUGAGUCGUGCUCGAAUCUUGCUCUAGAUUGAGGCGCACACGACGUCCACACGCCCUCGCCUUGAAUUGGCUCAUUGAAAGCUCUAGGUUGCAGCGCACACGACGUCCACACGCCCUUGUUAGCAGGGACCCAUGGGCUUUUUUUUUUUUUUUUUUGGUCAAAAAGAAAAAAAAAAUCCCAUUUUCAAGGGCAGUUGUCUCUAUUUGGUCUAUUAUUUGCCCUUGAAAUUUCGUUGUCUCGCAGAUGCUUCUCCUCUCUCUCAUGAUUACGCUUUUGGAUUUUUAUCCGUGAAUUUUGCAUUCUGAAGGGGCAAUGUAUUAUGCGAAAAGGAGUAAUUGGAUACGGUGUAUGAUCAUGUAGAGGGAGGGAUAAGAUAUGGUUACUGAAUUGAGGGCCUCGAAGUGAAGUGGUGGUAAUAUGUUACUAUAUAAAAUCAUUUCUUUCCCAUCUCAGCGGGGCGGGGCGGGGCGGGGUGCUUGCGCUAGCUUUUCUUGUCUCGUCUGCCUCACCUUUUUUACCCCCCUUUUGAUUUAAUGGGAGAAAUAAAAUUAGAAAAGCCGAAAAGAAUUGUAAAGGGCAGAAAACGUCAAACCCACAAUUGAAAGUGGACGAUAGAUAUUUUGCGUCGCAUUCUUUCGGUAACCUCAUCCCAGAUGCAAAAGUUUGCUAGAUAGUUCUUGGAUUGUGCAGCAACUGGCUCUUUGUUUUUUUGCUACUACAAGACGUGAUACCAUGACAAUAAAGUAGACAAGUGGAUCACUCCCAAGCAUUUGAGAGGCUCUUGUUGAAAGGGCAAAAAACGAAAGAAAUCCUCCAAAGGCCCUGUUGCUCGGCUUCCUAAUUUUCUUGCGCCAGGAAAAUCGUUAUAUUAUUUGGUCUCUGCACAAAAGUUAUUUGAAAGAUUUUGCACUCCAAAAGGUACUGGCAGUGUAAAUGAAGCGAUUGACGGGACGAAAAAACCGAGGAUCGAGCAAAAUUCAAUAAUGCGUCUAGAUUAUGAGAAAAGGAGAAAUGCGCUUGAUUGCCAUCCCUAUUAAGGUCAGCAGAAAAGGUGAAGAUGAUAGAAAGAAAGGAUCUCAGGCAGAUAAUAAAAUGAAGGCAAGGAUAAAGAUGAAGGCAUUAGAGUUUGAAUGAUCCAGGUCACUUUUGCUUGCAAGAUUGGAUUGUUGGAAAACUAACAUCAGCAACUUAAAGCAACACACACACACACACACUCGCAUAUUAAAACUUGAGAGACAGAGCAACUGUUCCAGCAAUCAUGGAUGUCUUUGGAAAAGAAAAAGAGAAAGAAAAAAGAACCUAGAAAGGAAAUACUACUGAAAAGUUGGAACACGGAAAAACAAUUAAAGACAGCGAUGAAGUAUGGUCAAUAUCUGUCUCAUGAUUUUUUGACCGUUCAGCCCACUCAACUUGGCCAACAUACAUGAAGUAGGGAGAGAGCAUUUGCCUCCAUAGGCUUUUGGCUCUGGAUGCAUACAAAGUUCCUUUUAUUAGUGGAAGACUACAUUUCAAAGUACAUUCAUAUCUUUCCCCUUAUCAUCCUCCCACCAACAUUAAUUGUAACGCGAAUUUAUACAUACAUAGAACUUUAUAACUUGUGUGGCCAACAUUCAGUAUCAACUUAUCUAAAUCAACAAAAACCCAAGGAACAGAUUAUAUAUAUAUGUAUACAUAUAAAGAAACAACAAGAGGAGAGAAGAGCGAGUUUUGAGUCCCAAAUAUGAUAUGGUGCAAUGCAGGAUAUUUUUCUUAUGUUUUUAUUUUCUGUUUGGUAAAGCUAUGGGAUCAACCACCAUAAUACCCCUAUAAUCUUUAAGCUUUCUUCCCCACUGCAAAAGCUUAGAAGAUUUGGAUUCCCCAGUUAGUACAUGCCAAAAACUUUUUGACUGCCACGGCACACCUCAGGACUUGAUAAACUUUUACUCUUUACUUUCUGAAUUCCCCUGUAACAUAUUUCAGCAGACAAAACCAGCAAUGCAGACAUUCUUAGUUAUGCUUUUAUUUUCUUUUUGGGAAAGCAAUGGGAUCAUCAGCCACAACACCCGUAUAAUCUUUAAAGCUUUCUUUCCUACUGCAAAAGCUUAGAAGAUUUGGAUUCCCCGUUAGUACAUGUCCAAAAACUUUUUUGACUGGCAAACCUCAGGACUUUAAAAACUUUUACUAUUUACUUCUCCCGUAACAUAUUUCAGGAGACAAAGCCAUUCUAGUUUAGCCUUCCACUGCAUUCCAGUUAUGAAGUACCAGUUAUAUGAGAAAUCGCCAAUCCACUAAGUUAGUUUCCUCAGACAAAACUGUAAUAGUUCUUACUUGAGUUUUGUUCCUUUAAUUCCAUUGCAACUUACGCAUAUCUAUAUAUAUUUGACAAGACAGCGUACUGGACAAUUCAACUUUGAUCAAGCCUUUACAAGUAAUUAAACUAAAAUGCCAGGAAUUUUGUGGAGAAACAAGCAACUGCCUGUAUGAAUUUUUUUUUCCCCACAUUAGAUCAGAUUAAAAGAAUCCUCCAACUAGAAUCCUUCCAUCAAAGUGCCAUUAUAACUAUGGUCUGUGAUUUGAGAUAAUCAAAUAUAACUUUCAAAUAAAAGAAACAAAUUGUAUUAUUUUUUCCAAAAUGGAUCACAUGAAAGUGGUUGUUGAGUCAUUAAUUUUUUAUUUGUUCCACUUAUAGAAAGGACUUGUCCCACUUAUAGAAAGGACUUUCCUUCCCUUACCUCUUUCCUCCUGUGCCUCGUUCUCCUAUUUCUUUACGUCACUGCACCUUGUUGGGCAAGAACCACUGCAGAGUAAUAAACAUGUCAAGUUAGCUUGCUUUGCAACAACUAGCAAUUUUAAAUUGACUUCUUCAUCCGUAUUAUUCAAUUGCUUUUUUCUCUUCCAAAAACUUUCUAGCUUUUGAAUAAUGAUACUCUCCAUGAUAUUCUGUGUGCACGCAUGUGUAUGUGAUGUGAGCAUUGUUUGAUGUCACCAAUUAUCCACAACACUUAAAUUUCCAAUAUCUUUUGGACCUGCAUACAUCAGAUCAGAUACAAUUCGUAAGUCCCAAAUGACCAUAUUGGACAGAAGUAAAGGUUAGAUGUAUACAUAUAUCCGUAAGUUUUGGUAUCAAUGCAGAAAUGUAAUACAACACAACUUAUGCACGCAUUCAGCAUCAUAUUCGAGUAGUCUUGUCUUUAAGAAACUUCACUGUUUAAGAAAUGGGACCGCAACAUUUUUACCAUCCUAUAAAACCCCUCUCCUGGAUGUUUGCCUUCGCCUUCCAACACCAAUAUUAUAUGAUCAGGUCCAGAACCUUGUUACAUACAUAAAUCAAUUAACUAGCAGAAACCAUGCAGUCAGGUGAUGCAACAGAGUUGUAUUAUCUGCUUACUUCAAAUCCAACUCAAUACCCUUCUCAUUUUGGCUUGAACAACAAUAACAUGCCUUCUUUCAACCUUAGCAGAAUUUCAAACCCUUUGUGCCACCUUCAGAUCAAUCCCCAGAUUCAAGACUUCAACCCGCAGAUGGCAUCUUUCAGCUGCAAUUCAACUUCAGAUGAAGCAGAUGAUCAACAACUAAGUAUAAUAAAUGAAAGAAAGCAGAGAAGGAUGAUUUCCAAUAGAGAAUCUGCACGAAGAUCACGUAUGCGCAAGCAAAAGCAUCUUGAUGAGCUAUGGUCCCAGGUUGUUUGGCUCCGUAAUGAGAAUCAUCAGCUGAUAGAUAAACUGAACCAUGCUUCAGAAUGUCAUGAUCGUGUACUUCAAGAGAACACUCAACUCAAAGAAGAAGCUUCAGAACUUCGUCAAAUGCUCACUGAGAUGCAGCUAAACAGCCCUUAUUAUAACUUAAGAGAUCUAGAAGAUGAUCCCUGCAAGGGCUUGUCCCAAGACUGAUUAUAUAGACCCUUCCUCUUCAGGUAUCACUAUUUCUUGUAUGAAGAUGGCGGUCAAGAUUUUGAUUUUUGCUUUGUCUCUUCCGUUCUUCGGUGCAGUCUAUUCAAUAAAAAUCCAACUUCACUUUGAACUGUACGAUGUCUGAAAGUCGUUUUCUGGCAACAGUUUUGAUAUGAAGAUCAUGUUGCCUUAGCUUAUAAUGCCGUAACUUGAUUUAAUAGCUGCUAAUAAACCAUUAUAACUUCAAUUUUUCUAGUCACUAAUAAACUACUGUAUAAGCUCGGUUUCCAAAUUUGAGACUGCAUGGUUAUUCCUUCAAAAAAAAAAAAGACUGCAUGGUUAUUGCAUACCUAUAUAUUGACAGUCCAAAUGAAAACGAUGAUGAAUCCAGACUCGUCUGUCUGGGACGAAAAAUGGCCAAAAUCGUGCGGAAUUGUUUUGAUUAUUCUAGUCAAAACAGUGACGUACAAUGAUGAUAAGAGUGAACCUGCGGGUAAUAGAACAUUAUCAUAACAGCCAAAACAAUGAAAAGAAAAAAGAUAAAUGUCAAUGUGAGAACCACAAGCAAACAGAGACAUAUAAAAUAAACUUAAGGUUGCAAACGAUUACAGAAGACGAUACGGAAGUAACACUUGGUGCAGAAAUUUAUUGGUAGCAGCAAUUUUUACAAACGUGUAAGUGUGCGGCAACAUUUUCAAGUCUUUCUGUUCUCUCCAGAUGCCAGAAUAUGUAAAUUUAGAUGGGCCUGGGAAAGGCCAUAGUUAAACAGCCGUUCUCCUUUUCCUUAAUCAAACAGCACAAUUCGUCCAAAAGGCAUCAACAGUAGCAUCACCGCAACAAAGGCCUAAGAACAUUGUGUUGUUACUACCAGUAUUACAGAAUAAAGAAAUGUCAUCUCUGGGUGAACAUCUUUUUGAACGCUAAAUCCGUGUAAAGUCUAACAAAUCCACAAAUAAAAAGCUGACCUAGUCACAUUAGUCAUUUAAAAUAUCAUCACAUGGAAGACAAACUCAUUCUUCUGUCGUACAAUUGAAAUCUCAGGAUACAAGAAAGGCAGAAACCCUCAACUCCUACUCUCUACUAAACUACUUUCUCUAAGUAUUACGUGAAGAAGGGGUCCGUUCUAUCCCAUCCCUCUUCUCCUUCCCUCUCAAAAAAAUUAUUAGAUUUUGUUAAAAGAAAUAAGAAAAAGUGAUCUUUAAACUGAAAAUUAUGUACCCUAAAUCAAACAGCUCUGGUAUGAAGGCAAUGAAGUACAGAAAUCAAAACGUGGGGCUACUCCAGAAUAGAAAAUUUAGUAUUGGAAAAUGUGGAUGAUGAAAAUCUCAGAGAUGCCAAGGUCUCCAAGCUGUCAAUUUGUCAAAAUAUGCUGCAUCUGAGACAAAUGAUUCUCACCUCAAUGCAAAUAUGCAAGAAAUUGAAAAGAAAAAAUACAACAACAACGACAAAGAAAGCACCGAAGGUCAAAGGUCAAAGUAUCACUGUACUAUCUGCAGGGGGUAUUUACCUUGGUCAUGAAAAUCAUGAGGUUGAGGAUUCCUUUUCCGGAAGUUUUUUUGCUGCUGAGGCAACCGAGUGAUUGGCAUUUGGCAGUGCAGAAUUGUUUAAUUGAGAAAGUACUGGAAAAAUUCGAGGGAGAGGGCUAGGGACUCGGGGUUUAACUCUUUUCCUGAUUUGGAAGCAGAGGUUUCCCGGGUUUGCGUUGGGUUUGAUGAAAACCAACCAUGUUUUGACAUUCGUCAAAUGCAUGUUUUGAAAUACUUUGAGAAAUGUGUGUUUGAAUAGAAUAUUAUUUGAAAUAAUUAAUUUAAACAUUUAAUGAUGUAUGUGAGAUAAAAAAAUAAUUUAAAAUAUAAAAAGAUAAAUUUAUAUUUAUAUUUAUAAUGCGAGCGAAAUAGUACAUGAAAUAAGUCAGCAAUCUAAACACUAUUUGUAAUCCCAUCUUUAUUAAUCAACAAAUGAUGGGAUAACAAAUAAUGGAGUGCAAAUAAUAUUUUUUUAAUACUAUUUUGAUUAAAUACAAAAAAAAUCUCCCGUGAUUUCAUUGAAAUCAACAAGUUGCCCUGUGAUUUUGAAAUAUCUACAUUCCAUCCUUGUGAUUAUGGAACAACUUUAACCCGAUUGUUGUUACUCAUUUUUUCCCUUUCCUUUUCUUUUUGAAUUAAUAUUUCCUGCACUGUCAGUAUUGGAUAAAUGAUAACUAUGAAAAAUUUGAAUUUGAACUCCAAACUUUUGCAUAUGUGUCAUGGAUCUAAUAGUGAAAGUAUAUACAUUGUUAGUGUAUAUAAUAUUUACUCUUUCUUUUAUCCAUUUUUUUUCCUUUUCUAAUUCUCAUUUAUUCUUUCUCUGUCACUACACAAUCACUAUAGCUACACCAUUGUGACAAACCACCUCUCUAUUCUUAUCGCCACCUCUAUUUGCCACCAUUUGCCAUUCCUUCCUAUUUUCUUCCCACUUUCCCGUCUUUCCCUUCUCUCUACCUCCUUUCUCGCCCUUCUCCCUUUAUCCCUCUUUUUCCCAAUGAUCAAAUCUGGUCAUCAGAAGAAGAGGGAUAGACCAAGAGCAAUGAGAAUGUGGGAAAAGGAGAGAGGAAAAGAGGAAAAGCUGAUGAGGAAGGAAGAAAUAAAAGAGAUAAGAGAGUAGAAAUAGGUGGUGACAAAUAGGGGUGGUAAGUGGCCGCUGGUGGCACGUCUACGUAAAUGCACCAUCCUUUCCUUAGGCAAAUUUACAUGGAAUUGAUACCAUUAAGGUCAAUAGAAUUAAGAAAAUUGAGGUUUCCUGUCCCUCGAGAAAUGCUACCUUAAAGGCCUAAGUAGGAGAGAUUCAAGGAGACAACUUUAUGAUGGCGAGAUAACGUGUCACUCCAAUCCAUUUGUAGUCCAAUUUUUCUCAAUAGAUUGAAAGAAUCAAAUAGUUGGGAUUUUAAGGCAAAAAAUGUUGAUUGAUCUAUUCUAAAGCUACAUUUGAUGAGAGCUAUCAAAAUAGUAGGAAGAAUUAGCAGUAGUACAAGAUGAAAAAGAAUGGUAAUUAUAUCCCUGCAAAAAAUGGAGAAAUUGCAAAGGAAAUUAGCAAAAUAGAAUUUAGGGGAGAAGGUUGGGUUGGAUAGCAACGAAAGGGUUUUAAGCAACUGGGGAAAAAAAAGAUUACCAAGGAAAGUAUCAAAGACAAGGUUUGUGAGACUGAAGAUGAAACAAGUAGGCUAGAUGCCUCAAUACCAUUUGUAGUUUUAGAUCCACUUUGUUUAAUCUAGUUAGUGUUCCACUUUAGCAAUAAGAAGCAAUUUGUUUUUCUUUUUUUUUUAUGGUUUUUGCAUAUUACCUGACAAACCGGUAUUCAUUUCCCAUCGAUCUAUAUCUAUAUGUAUUGCAGAGAGGGAUUUAGCAGAUACCCUCUCAAUGACUUCAAAUGUUCUCAUUCUUUUUUUUCUAGAAUUUUGUGAAUAUUUUAGGGCUUGAAUUUCAACCGCAAGGGUGGAUUUUUUGGAAAUAUGAGAGUGUUUGAAGUGCAAUUAGAGUAUUGAAUAUGAGUCAUUAUAACUAAUUUAGUUUUGUUGUAAUUACUUGGAUGUCCUUUUGAACAUUUAAAACUAGGGGUAAGUUUGAUAUAUGACAUUAUUUGAUAUCCGAUUAAACAUUGAGUACAACUGAAUUCAACUUGUGUUUUAGUGAAAUUACAUAAAAGCCCUUCUAAUAAUUUAAUUGUAUUAACAUCUAAAUCUUUUAAUUUUUUAAAGUCUUUCUCAUCAGUUAUUUGCAAAGUUAUGAUAUAUAGAUGUUAAGACACAAUUAAUGUCAAUUAGUAGAGAAGUCUGGUUUUUUGCCGUUAUCAUAGUAACUCCUAUCUAUUCAAAUUCAUUUCAUUUGCUUAUAGGUUUUGUUCCACCACAAUCAUGCAGCAUAUUGAAUUCGGAUGUUGUUACAUUAGCUACUCUUCUUCCCUAUUUUGCAACACCUUUUUCAAUAGGUAUGUUUUCUUUAACUAAUCUAUUUUUUUGUUGUAAAAAUCUGUAAUAUUGCAAGUUGUCUAUGCAAUAAUUUUUUAGUAUUUUAAUUCAAUUGUUCAUGUUAGACAAGCUUGAUAAGGAAGAGACCACAUUUGUUAAUUGUUAUUUACGGAUUAAAAUAAGUUUAUCAUCAUAAAUUUUCCCAUUUAUAGAUUGCAUCUACUUCUUUUGUUGUUUUAACUAUUAGUUAGGGUAAUUUUCAAAUCAUUUGCUACUUUAUUGACUAUUCCAUUUAGACAAUUUUUUACUUCAUCUGAUUUGCCAAUAUGUUUAACUAUCUACUUAAAACUAUUUGACUACAAAUCUAAAGUAUGUAUCUCAUUACUUUUAAUUAUUUUUCUUAAAUUGAGUGGAUUAAGAUGCUUUAGUACUUUUUUGAGGUAAUUAUUCCUCUAAAUUAGCAUGCUAGUUGUUGUAUAUCUUUGCAACUAACACAAAACUAAUAUUUCGUGAUUGUAACCCCUAUCGAGAAGGAGAUACUUUACUAUAUGUCCUAAAUCAUACAAUAAAUUAUAAUUAAUUGCUUGUUCAAUGUGAAGGCCUCGUGAUGAUAUAUGUCUUUGGAAUCAAUAUAAAUUCAAGAAUUUGGAUUGCAAGAACUGAAAUUCCACUAGUAAUGAUUUCUUCAAGUAUGCUAAUUGUUCAAAUCUCACUUAUAUGACAAGAUAAUGUGGUGGAUUGCCUUCAUAUCAAGAUCAAAUUCAAACUAAACAACAAAUUUUAAUAACUCUAAAGUGCAUGAGUAAAUAUAAAUAGGUCUUUUAUUAUACUAUAUUAGAUGCAAAAUAGUUGAUCGUAUCUUAUAAUUAUGUUUUAUUGCAUAUUAUAUUUUUUUAACUCAAUAUGUAACUUAUGAUUUUUUUAUUUAAUAUCACAUAAUAAAAAUUGUCAUACUUCAAUCCUUAUACUAUAAAAUGCCAAAUAAUAAUUAUUAAUCAUCUUUAAUUAUAGGCACUAAACUCCCAUGCGUUGCGUGGGCUUUUCCCCUAGUUUUAAUACAUAAAAUUAGGGGUGUGCAUUCAGUGCAAUGAUUUCGGUUAUUCGACCUAUAGAAAUCUAAAUCGUUUUCAAUUUCAAAUUGGCCAUAACCGAAUUCAUUCCGCAACCGAUUUCAAAUUCGAAAACGGUAAUGAAUUCGGUCUAACCGAAUUCAUCUAUUAAAAAAACUAACUUUUUAAAAAUUAUUACUGAUUUGAUUCCCAAAUUUAUUCAUAAUUUAACACAUUACUUAUGUUCUAAUCAUUUUGUGGUUUAAUUUAAUUGGCAUUUAUUUGAUCACUUAUACCUAGAAUCGUUAGUCUAUGAUUUAAGAAACACAUAAAAAGUGAUCAAUUUAAACUAGAAUAAACCUUAGAGUGUACGAUAAUUAGUGAUAAUUUAUGAAUUUAUAAUUUAAUAAUAAGUAAUAUUAGUAGCAAACUUACAAAUUACAACGAUUAGUGAUAAGUUAUAUUAGUUACAAACUUAUAAUUUGUUUUAAAUCAAAAUAAAACUUAUUUACUUACAUAUAUUAUUGUGAAAGUUAAUACACUAAUACAUUGAUUUGCAGUUCACAUACAUUCACUUGCACUGCUUAGUUGUCUUAUCUAUAUUUAAAGCCUUAAGAUUAGUGAAUAUAUAAUAUAAAUUUUUAUGUUAAAUAUGUAAUUUAAAUUUAGAGCACACUAAUACUUGCAAGUUAUAGAUUGCGCAUUCAAAUAUUCAAUAAUUCAAGCAUGAAUGAUCAAUGAUGUAUCAAAUUACCAAUAUCUAAAUUCUAAUUACUAAUUAUGUUUAUUAUUUAAUAUUUAGUAUUAAACAUAUAUGUAUUAAUUAUUAUCCAAUUCUAGUCAUGCUACUCACGUAUAAAAUAAUAAGUAAUUAUCUUAUAUUGUUAUGUAUUACUAUGUAUUUGUAUUAUUAUAGUCAUAUAACAUUUAACAAAUACUAAAAUAAUAUAUUGUACAUUAUUAUAUAUUAUUAUUAUUAUAUGUACAUGAUAUGAUGAUAAUACGAUAUACUAAUUAUUAUUAAUAGCAUUUACCUAUAUAAUAUAAUAAUAUAUUAGUAGUGUAUACUAAUACUAAAUAGCAUUUAUCUAUAUAUUAUAUAAUUUUAUAUAUCAAUUUGGUAUUCGAAUGCGGUAAUGAGGUACCCUAUUUCAGUUACCGAAUUUGAAUGCGAAAUUGGUUAUUACCAAAUUCAGAAUUUUAUUACCUAUUUCAUACCAUAUUAGAAUUCGGUGAAUUCGGUAUGUACCGAAUUUGUACCAAAUUACAAAAAAUUCGAUUUCAAAUUACCAAAUUAAAUUUAAAUUCGGUUAUGAAUUCGGUAUGAACCGAAUUUCCUCACCCCUACAUAAAAUCUAAUUAAAAACUUUAAAAUAGUAGGUUAUAAUUAAUCCUAUCACUAGUCAAAUUUAAAUUUUAAAAUUUAAAUCUUUCCCACUAUCUCCUUCAUAAACCGUUUAUAGUUUGUUAUUUAUACUUUAAGUUCUUUUUACUUCUUAAUUAAAUAAAAUACAUCUUGUCAAGCCAAAUUUCUUAGGGAUAAUUGAUUAGUCUCAUUUUUAAAAUUAUUCACUCUAUUAUAUCCUCAUCACUUUAGCCCAUUUUAUUCCUUCAUUAAGAAGGAUUAAUUUAUCUAGUCAAAUCCUUGAGAUAAUGUGAUUAGUCCUAUUUUUUAGUUAUUCAUUCAAUUAUUUCUUUAUCGCUUUCCUUCUGGGUACAAUAAUCAUUUGUCAAAAUAUUCUAAUGAUAUACUCGAUUACUCUUAUUUUUAAUAAUUUAUGUUUCCAUUACUAAAUCAAUUUUCUUGUGGUCUUAAACUUUUUUUUUUUUUUUGUGCAAGCUGAGGGCACUUACUAGGUUGCUUUUUUUAUUUUUAUGUUGGCUUUUAUUCAGUAAGUUUGUUUUUUAAAGUUUUAAAAUUUGAAUGUUGAAAUUAUACUCUAACAUUAAAUUGAGUAUGUAAAUAACAAUUAUGACAUUUUAUUUGCAUUUAGAAUAAUCUCAAUAUUAAUAUCAUGCAAGCAUCUAGAUGACUUUUCAUUUAGCACAUGUACACGAAAAAGUGCAUGUAAAGAAAAAUUAUGUAUGAAUUUUAAAUUAAUAAAAGUGUAUUUAGAAGGUUGCUUUUGGUGGUAUUUUAGCAAAAUUUUAAUGAAAAGGUUGUAUUUCACCAAAUUUACAUCCAAAAGUUUACUUUUUCGAUGAUUGCAAUUCUAGCUUUUUAUUUGAUUAAAAACACUUAAAAAUGAGGUAGCAACUUGGAAAAAUAAUUCUAACUUUUUAUAUGUCCAAAAACAUUUAAAAAGUAAGAUAAUGAAUCAUAAAUAGUGAAAGCAUUAAAAAAAAUAGAACUGCAGGGUUAGGGAAGGUAAAGAUUAGGGACAAUUAUCAAAUUUGAUGAUUCAUGUGAGUAUGGGCAAGUUAUAAUUAGGUUAAUCUAUAUAUUCCUACUUAGUUAAUGGUUCAAAAUAGAUGAGUCGUCAAUGAAUAUAGUUUUAUAUGGGUUUGGAUUAUCCAAUCAUCUAUUCACAGCCCAUUACUAAAUGUUAUUUACUUUUUCAUUCAUAUUUUGUUUAGCAACAAAAUAGUAAAUCAUAUCAACAUAUCAAGUUAAUAAAUCAAUUUUUACCUAAAGAAAGAGAAAAAAACAUAAAAAUUGCUUAAAGGAGCCUAAAAUGACCAUCAUAGUGAGUUUCAAAUUUUGUCACUAUAUGACAAUCUAAAAAUAAUUUAGAUAUUAAUGCAAACAAUCAAUUAACAUUCACGAAAUUUAUUAAACUUUUAUGAAAGAAAUGAAGGAAGUAAGAUAAAUUUCAAAAAAUAAAUAAUAGAAAUUAAAGAAGAGGGAAAAUGAUGAAUACAUCUUUGCAAAAAUUAGAAUAUAAUUAUUAGAGUAAUUUAGAUUUACCCAUUAAUGAUUGAGUUUGAAUCUAUGUCUAAUUUAAUUAAAUCAAAAUAAGUCAUUCAAAAUCUGUCAAUUUCAUACCCACUAAUUAAUGGGUUAAUUUGGUCACCCAUUUGAAUCUAAUUAAAUUACACACAAACUCAUUUGUUAAUAUACCACCAAAUAAAUAGGUUACCAUUUACAUUUAUAAAUAGAUGAAAAUAAUAAUAGAAUAGGAGACAAGUGAGCUGUAAAAUUAGAUACGAGAAAGGAUAAUUGGGUGGUAGCGAGAUAGAGCAAAGAGAAAAUAGGAUUUGAUAAAAGAGAAAAUGGUUGUAGGGAUACAAAAAAAUUGAGUAGGAUUUUAAGGAACGAAAAAGGUUGUAAGGAUGCGAGAAAGUUAAAUUCAGAAAGUAAAAAGAGAAUAGUGAAAAGUAGGAAGAAUAUCGAGGAGGAGAGAGGAGGUUGAGAGUGAAAAAAGUGGCAUGAAAAGGGAGAAUAUGAGAGAAAGGGAUAAUAUUAUUGUGUUUGGCCAUAUUUCUCCUCCUUCUCAUAUAAACCGUGCAUAGCACAGGCAAAAUACUAGUUAUGAAGUAUGGUUGAAUUAUGUUCAUAACUUGGUUUCAAGUAAAGGAGCAUCAUCUACUCAUUUUCCAUAUGUGAUUUUCUCCAAUCUUUUUCUUUCUUUCUUUUUUUGGUUGUUGUAUUGUAGAAAUAAGAGCUAAAACAGUAUAUUCACAUAUAAUUAUUGAUUAGGUCUUUCCCAAAUAACUCCCAAUAGUCAACAAAAAUGAGGGAUCCUAAUCUAAUUGAUGGCUAAUUACAUUACAUCACAUCACAAAAAGUGAUAUAAUAAUUAUUUCAAAUAAUACUUUUGUUUGGAUAAAGUAUUAUUUGAAAAAAAUGAAUUGGCAAAGUGUUUAUGAUGUACGUGAAAUAUUCUCUAAUUAUUUUUUGUUGGCAUUGGAUAAUAGACUUUUGCACAAUUAUGAGAAAGAUUACUCUUGCGAUUCAAAAAAAAAAAAUAUAGUUGCACUAGAUAGGAUUGACCACUUUUUUGAAAGGCCAAAAACGAAAAAUCUUUAUCUGUUAUGUAUGGAUUGAUUGAGUGAUGCAGAAAAACUUGGGGGUUGAUAUUUGGAUUAGUCCCGGUCUCCUGGUAUCAGGGUAUUAUUUGCGUGUAAUAUGCUGGGAAUUUAGUCAGUUGCCUAAGAAAAUGGUAAAAUGUGGAACCGACAAACCGCGUUCUAGCGUUCCAACUUCCAACCAAAACCAGCGAGUGAAACUCAGGUCCGACUUCGAAUUUAGAAACAAACACAAGUAGGGAAGGGUUAACAACUGGAAGAGUAGAAGAAGAAUCAGGUAAAAAGAAAAGGAAAGGAACCUCUCUCCCUCCCUCUCUCUAGCUCCUCAGAUAGAUCCCAUUUUCUGCUUUCACUCCGACGCAUACAUAGAGGACACUCUCAUACACAGUCUUCUCAUUCUGCAUUCACUCCUAAACCCCCCAGGCCCCAACCCUUUCUGCAUCUUCAAUUCACCUGAUUUGUCGGCAUUGUUAUUUCUACACUAUUAGGUGGCUUGGAUUCGAAUAAUGGCGGUGGCGGUCCGGGGCGGCCGAGGCAGCAGCAUCGGCGGAGGAUCUGGUGCCGGAUCCACCUUUCGUAACUUCUUCUCUUAUAGAGUCUUCGUCUCCGCCAUGUUUACCCUCCUCUUCCUCGCCACUCUCUCCGUCCUCUUCUCCUCUCACCCCUCCCAUCACGACGACGACGACUCCGUAAGUCCCGAUGUCUUCCCAAUUAUUUACUUCUUGUUUUGAGGGUUUUAUUGACAACAGCAAGUAUUGGUAGUAAGUAGUAGUAAUUUUUUGAACCCCCCCCCUUUUCCCCCUUCCUACUGUAUUAUGUCAGGUGAUUUUGACGAGCGGGAACGCCUACGUGCAAAGAACAUUUCUAGCGUUAAAUUCGACCCAUUAAAGACUAGGGUAGAUAUGAUAUACAGGCAAGCUAAUGAUCACAUUGCCCUUGUAAAUGCCUAUGCUGCUUAUGCUAGGAAUCUCAAGCUGGAGAUCUCUAAAAGCUUAAGAUGUUUGAUGAUUUAGCUAAUAAUUUUGCCGAGCUUCAACUGAAGCCCAAUUAUAGGAAUGCUUUGUUUGAAUCGGAUGGACCCAUAGACGAGGAUGUCUUGAGACAGUUUGAGAAAGAGGUUAAGGAUAAGAUUAAGGUUGCUAGGUCCAUGAUUGCCGAGUCAAAAGAGUCGUAUGAUAAUCAAUUGAAGAUUCAGAAGUUGAAGGAUACAUUUUUGCUGUCAAUGAGCUGCUUGUCAAGGCUAAGAAGAAUGGUGCUUUUACUAGCUUGAUCGCUGCUAAGUCAACUCCCAAGAGCUUGCAUUGUGUUGCCAUGCGGCUCAUGGAAGAGAGAAUUGCGCACCCAGAUAAUUAUGUGGAUGAGGACCCAAAGCCCGAGUUUGAGGACCCUACCUUGUAUCAUUACACAUAUUCUCGGAUAAUGUGAUUGCCGUAUCUGUGGUGGUUAAUUCGGCUGUGAAGAAUGCAAAGGAACCAUGGAAACAUGUCUUCCAUGUGGUUACAGAUAAGAUGAAUGUGGCUGCGAUGAAGGUUGGUUUAAGAUGAGGCGGUUGAAGGAGGUGUGCACGUGGAGAUCAAGUCUGUAGAGGAUUUUCCAUUCUUGAACUCAUCAUAUGUCCCGGUGCUAAGGCAACUUGAAUCAGCAAAUCUGCAGAAGUUUUACUUUGAGAACAGUGCAGAAAAUGCAACAAAAGAUGUGAACAACAUGAAAUUUAGGAACCCUAAGUACUUGUCGAUGUUGAAUCACCUUCGAUUUUACUUGCCAGAGAUGUAUCCCAAACUGCACCGGAUUUUGUUUUUGGAUGACGAUGUCGUAGUACAGAAGGAUUUGACUGCGUUGUGGAGAAUUGAUAUGGAUGGCAAGGUAAAUGGGGCAGUUGAGACCUGCUUCGGUUCAUUCCACCGCUUUGCACAAUAUAUGAACUUCUCCCAUCCUCUGAUCAGGGAGAAAUUCAAUCCCAAGGCCUGUGCCUGGGCAUUUGGGAUGAAUAUCUUUGAUCUUGAUGCUUGGAGGCGUGAAAAGUGCACUGAGGAAUACCAUUAUUGGCAGAACUUGGUUAGUAAACUUUGCUCUUUGUACUUAUGUUUUGUAAUUCUGUUGAUUACAUCCAGCUUUUCAAAAUAAGUGAGUGUUUUGUGCUUUGAGAUUCUGUUGUCUCACCUGUCCUGUUUAAAUUUUUAGGUCUAAAUUGUAUUAUCAAAUUUUUUGCUCUCUUAUCUUAAACAGAAUGAGGAUCGGACUCUCUGGAUGUUGGGAACUCUUCCGCCUGGGCUGAUGACCUUCUACUCAACGACCAAAUCUUUGGAUAAAUCUUGGCAUGUGCUUGGUCUUGGGUUCAACCCGAGUAUUAGCAUGGAUGAGAUUAACAAUGCUGCUGUCAUCCAUUUCAAUGGGAACAUGAAACCUUGGCUGGACAUUGCCAUGAACCAAUACAAGCAUCUUUGGACUAAAUAUGUUGAUUCUGACAUGAUAUUUGUGCAAAUGUGCAAUUUUGGCAUGUAGAAAUGCAGGAUUACUGUCAGUGAGGCAUCUCCAAGCUCAAAUUAUAGUUACCGUUCAUAGGGCUAGCAUUUUUCCUAUUUGUUGUAAUUCUAGGAGCGAAGCUCCUGGCAUGUGUUUUUUUACAUCCCUCUAGCUGUUUCUUGUUUUCGCUCCCUCUCUCACCCCCUCCCCCCCCCUCUCCUCUCCUCUCUAGUUGAUGUAUUCUCCAAUUGAAUGCACACGCUUUUCUUGAGUAAAGAUUGAGUUGAGUGUUUAACAAGAUUGAGUUGAGCAAAGAUUGUAUUCUCCUAAAAGUAAUGCAGUUGGGAACUAGGUUUCAUUUGCUGCAGAAUGUGGAGUUAUAUGAAUCUAGUUCGGCCACUCAUACUCUUAACUAAAUGUUUUUCCUAGAAUCCAUUCCUAAUUUGUGUCGUUAUGCUCUGCAAGUAUAAUAAUUGUCAUGUUUGUUGAGAUGCUCGGUUUAUGUGAGAUGCAGGCAUGUACCAUACAGAGUGGUUCUGUGAUCAUUUGUGCUCGUCAAAGAUCCAUCAGAAAUUUCAGGCUUCUCGAAUACUUGUCUUGUGGAAUAUCUGCGGUGAAAUUAAUUUUGCUUAACGAGUCAAUUCUUUAUGCAGUUACCAGGCAACUUCCUUCGGGGGAAGAAGAUCUCAAGAGCAUGGCCGUAUGAAGUCUAGUUUCCAGGUUGUCUUUUAAACACGGUUAACACUAGUUGGGAAGGGGUUGUAUUGAGGUAAUACUCUGAUAUGCGGAGUCAAAUCAAGCUAGUUAGCCAAAUGCUACUGAGCAUUUUCAUAAGAUGAGGGUUUAGUGGUGCGCAUCAUGAUGACGGCAGCCAUUCUUUUUCAUGUUAUCUUCAUGCUUUCAGAUGUUGCUGCUAUUGUGAAUUGUUCUUAUUCAUGUACGUAACCUUUCUUUCGAGGCAUAAGUUAAGGUAGAAAUGGUAGGCUUUGAACUUGGUGAUAGCUUACUGGUAAUAAUCUCUCUUCAAUUUACUGUAAACAAAAUUAGCAUGAAGAACAACUUUUUGAAGGCUUGCCGUCAAAAUCUUCUUGCAGUGGAAUUUGCUCAUAUAAGGAAUCAGUAGCUGAGCUUGCCGAGAUUCAAUUAAGAAAAAGAAAAAUCUCCGCUUCAGAAAAGUUUCAUCACAAAUUUACCCACUACUGCUGCUUCACAAUUCAGAGCUUAACACAUGACAUUUAAAGACAACGGCCCAGCUGCCCCAAAGAGCCGUCAAUGGGCCUUGGACCUUUUCCAGGGAAGACAGAUUUAGGACACUGCGACAAGCCUGGCCGCACGCAGCCGGGUUCACAUUCACUUAGGCUCGUGACGUCAGCUAGUUCUCUUUUCUAUGUAUCUCUGAUUACAGCUUAUGCACGCAUGAGCCCCCCAACAACUGUAUACAUACACGUUUCUAUAUAUAUAUAUAUAUAUAAUUUUUUUUUUAUUUAUCGUUACCAUCUACUCCUACUCCUACUCUAACCUAUACUAAGAAAGUGAUCCAACAGAAACUUUAACCUAUGCUACGAGAGUGAUCCAACGGAGCUAUCAAGAUCCGAUAGAAACUAAAUCGCCGUCAAAUCAUUCAAAUGCAAGAGACAUUCAUAUGAAUAUAAGAAAAGUCAUAAAUGACAACUUUUUGAUGGAAAAAAAAUUUAAAAUCCCUGACCUCUCGCCCCAAAAGAAUAGAAGUAAUUGGUUAAUCGAGGCAAAUAUCAUCACAAAAAAGUCGGAUGCUGCGGCGCAAUGACAACGGGUGGAAGGCAAUUGAGACCCGGAAUAUGCCAAAGAAUGUACGGGGCGGGGGUUCUUUGAACAUUGUGCAACAGUAGCAAUGUAGAAUUAAAGUGUCUCCAUUAAUAGCAGUUCCAACGUCCCUUUUUAUUAAAGUUUUUCCUCCCCAAAAUGAUUCCCCCUGAGUUACUAUCGUUUAAAAUACUCUUCGCGUAGCCGAGCCGCCGCGACCCACGAAAGUAAAUGCAAUACAGACCACCCAAUUUACUACGUACUCUACAAAAGUAAAUGCAAUAUAGACCACCCAAUUUACUACCCAAUUUACCACCCAAUUUCAACAAGUCUUUGACUUGAUCACUGCUGUUAUUCAACCAACCACUCCACCCUCCUCCCUAAAUUAGUUGGCCAUCAACAGAGUCUCUACUUGAAUGAUGUAAAUUAAUAUAUUAAAUUUCUUGAACAAAAUUUCGAUAGCAGGGGCGUAGGCAUUCAUGUGAGCCGGUGACGAUUCAGUUCAUUCUGCAACGAUUCAGUCCCUUCUGAUUUUUCCGUUAAUUUUCUUGAGUUUUCCAUCUCCCUGGCACAGAGAAGGAGUGAGUAUAAUUAGAAUCUAUCGUAUCCAACAACAAAAAAAAAUAAUAUCACUGUUAUUCAAGAAAAGCGAGUGGAAAAAGAAGCCAAAUGGCAAAUGUGUUCAUGUUGUCGACAUAUUUAACACAUUCAGAAUUUUUUUUGGGGUACAAGUUCCAUCCGGGAAAACGUUGCGGUUGCCUUUUUCUCCCGCUGACUAACUAAAAGCUAAUAAUAAUAGUUGUAUUUCGUGCAGCGCCGAUGCGCUACGUUCUUUUUUUUUUUUUAUGUAUGGCUCUCGUCAUCUAUAGGCAAAGUGAAAUAUGGUGGAGAUGGCCAGCUCUAGAGUUCGCUGUUUAAUGGAUAGUCGAUCUUUUUCUUCCAUUAUUCUUCUUGUGCUCUAGUACGGAUCUAAAUACAGUUCCUAUCUAAUACUAACAGUCAUUUUCCUCCUCACCAGUAAGUAAAGUGGGAGGUUUCGGCAAAACCCUCAAGAUUUUCUUGGUUCUUUGCUGAAAGCCCUCCAUCUCCAUUUCUUUUUUAGAGAUGAAAUUUUAAGGAAUUGACCAAAUUAAGGUUGCCAACUAUAAUUAGGUGAUACAACACUGUGAAACAGACAGAUGCACUCUUGAACCUUGAUCCAGAACACAGAAAGAGAGAGAUGUGACGUUCACUUGGAUGUUUGACAUCAAACCAACUGGUACGAGGAAUGCAUCACCGAACUGGAUCAGGAUGAUUGAGAAAACAACAACUCCUCAGAAAAAUAUUAGCAAGAUGAUCAUUUUACAGGAGUACAACAGAAAAUUUAGCACCUCACUCCCUGGAUUUUUUUUUUAUUUUUUUAUUUUAUCAAAUUAUUAACCCAGACAUUUCUAUUCAAAUCGUAAAGAAAUCCACACUUCGAUACAUUCACGCAAAGGAGCCCUAAUCAAAACAUGGCAAAGCCAAUCCCAGGCAGCCAACAUGAUUCAUCGAGGAACAUGAAAUCACGCAUAUACAUUUGUGCACAAGGUGCAUAGACCCGUCUACAUUCAUUCAUGCACGACCGAUUUUCCUUCCAUUCUAUCAAGAAGUUUGAGAGGAAAACAAAUCGUCCCAGUCCCACUUGCAUUAUAAUCCCUCAGUAGUGACUGUGUGACAUCCACUCAUCCUCAAUUUACACAUCCGGAAGAAACUCUAAGCAAGAGACAAGAAAAGUACAAAAGAGAGUUGGAUAGGGCUUUUAUCUAUCCUUCUACAUAAAGCUUAGUACUUGCAUGGCAGGCAGAAAGAAAUCCAGGAGUGGCAUUAGUCGGACAGUCAUAUAGAGUUCCAAAUUUCUUUCUACGAAAAGAUGAUCAAACAUGAUGGUGGCCCUGUUCGUCUGGGCAAUUAUCCGGCGGAGAAGACACCGGGACUGCCAAAUGUGAGGGAUUUUCAUCACCGGCCAUGAUGACAACAAUCUGUGGCGUCAUGGCAGCGGCAGUGGUGGUUGAGGGCUUCACCGACGACUUCUCCUCAUCGCCGCCCGACACGUUGGAGAAUCGUUUAUGAUAGGAACAAGCAAGGAUUACUAAUGCUACGGUGAUGAGAGUUAACAUGGCACCCAAGCCAAAAAACAGAUAUGGCAACGGAGAGUUCCAUUGCCAAAAGCUAGGGGUUUUAGCUGGUACUACCAUCUCUCUCUCUCUUGCAAACUCUUCCUCUUUUUAACUGAGUUAAUUCUCGACUCAAAUGCGGUUGAUGGUAUCCUGAUUGUCCAAUAUAUGGCUUAGCCUUGAGAAGACUCAGUGAGUAGAGCCUCAGAGGUGUCGACACACACAUAUAUAUAUUAUUUAUAGGAAGGCCAACUUUCUCUCCCUAGUGGUGUCGAUCAUUGCAAGUACUAAAAUGCCACUGGCAUCAGGGAAAAGAUUCUUCUGGUGCUUUUACGGAUUCCGGGUCAGAACAGGAGUUUCUCGGUGCUGCUGAUAUGCAUGCUAGCAUUAGAAGUUUCUUUUGCUUCCCACAAAUUACAGUAGACGCACUAACUAAUUAAUUUUAUCUUUAAUUAAUUAAGCAGUGCAGCAGACCCAUCGAUCCAAUCGAAAUGUUGGGCCUGUUUGGAACCUAAAUUUUUUGGGAAUUUGUCUAAAACUUUACUGUAGUGCACUGUAGAAGUUUUUGAAAAAAUUUUGUAGAAAUUUUUGUUAGGUGAAAAAUUUUGUAAAAGUUUUUGUAAGGUGAAAAACUUUUUUUUUCUUUCCCUUUCUUUUUCUUUUUCUUUUUCUUUCUUUCUUUUUCUUUUCUUUCCUCUCUUUUUCUUCUUCUUCUUCUUCUUCUUCCCCGUUACCUCCACCACCCCCAGCUGCAACUCCACCUCUCGCCGUCCCCCUCUGCCCCUUCCCCCUCCCCCCGCCUUCCCUCUCCCCCGCCGUCCCCCUUCCCCGCAGCCUCUCUCUCCCCCGCCUUCCCCCCCGCAGCCCCCUCUGCCCCUCCCCCCGCCUUCCCUCUCUCCCCUGCCGUCCCCCUCCCUGCCGCCUUCCCCCUCCCCCCGCCGCCUCUCUCUCCCCCAUCUUCCCCCCCGCAGCCCCCCUCUGCCCCUUCCCCCUCCCCCGCCUUCCCUCUCUCCCCCGCAUUCCCCCUCCCCCGCAGCCUCUCUCUCCCCGCCUUCCCCCCGCAGCCCCCCUCUGCCUCUCCUCCCGCCUUCCCUCUCUCCCCGCCGUCCCCCUCCCUGCCCCUUCCCCCUCCCCCGCCGCCUCUCUCUCCCCUAUCUUCCCCCCGCAGCCCCCCUUUGCCCCUUCCCCUCCCCCCGCCUUCCCUCUCUCCCCGCCGCCCCCUCUGCCCCUCCCCCCCCCCCCCUGGCCGUCCCUUCCCCCUUCCCCCUCUGCCCUCUUGGUCGCCCCUCUCUGUGCCAGACGUAAAGAGAGAGAAAAAAAAAAAAAAGACAAGGGAGGAUGAUGGCAGGGGAGGAAGAGGGGGAAAGGGAAAAAAAUGGGGAAAAAAAAAGACCGGCACCGGAUCGGAAAUUGGUGACGGAGCCGGCAAUGGAGGUGGUAGUGAGGGAGGAAGAAGAAGAAAAGAGGAAGGGAAUUUUUUUUUUUUGUUGUGUUUUGGAUAUUUUAAGUGUGUAGGUUAAAAGCUUUGAUAAGUUUAUUGGGGUUCCUGUAGCAAAAGUUGUUAAAAAACUAGUUUUAUACAAACUUGGUAAAAAACCAAGCUUCCAAACAGGCCUGUUGUUGGUGGGUUGGACGUUAAUCUCAGUCGGCUUCCCAAUUAAAUACAAUGCGGGGCUUCGACAAUUUUCAAUCUCGAAUUGCACGGUACAACAACGUAUACAUGCACUAGCACAACAAAUGCACAGAGUGCAAGUAUUAAGACAACGACCACAUGCAAAAAUACACCAAAUUUUGAUAUUUAUUAAGACUAAGACCCUUGUUUAAUAAUCCAAUUCAACACUUAAAUUUAACGGAUAAUUAAAAAUUAAACAUCUAAAUUUAUUAAGUGGCACUGAAUUUUCUUUCUAGGCAAAACUUGCUCUCAAAAUUAAGUGAUAAACUAUAUAUUCACUUGUAACUGAAUGUGAUAUGUAUUCAAAUAUAUUAGAGUUAAUAUUUAACAACUGAAUGAAUUCAAAGUUUAGAUUGCAUAUUUCAGUUUUAUCAAACGUACCCUCAGUAUUACAAUCAAAUUACAUCUAUAGAGUUCUAAAUUUAAUCAACUCUUACUACUAAAUAUGCUCAUACACAUACAUAAUUAGUAAGGAAUGGAAAUAUUCAUUUUUUGAAAUGUGAGGGAUGGAGAAAUUCAUUUUGUGAAAUGUGAGGGAUGAAAAAAUCAUUUUAUAAAAUGUGAGGGACGAAAAAAUUUGUUUUAUAAAAUGUGGAGGACUAUAGAUCAGAUUAUGUAAAAUAUAAUUUGACAAAUUUACCCUUAAAAAAUGAUCACGUGCCUUGCACGUGAUGGAUUCCGGCAAAAAAAUGAUCGGAAAUCUAGUUAGGGACUAAAUUUGACCGAUAUGAAUAUGUAAGGGACAUAAAAUUACACUUUUAAAAGUGAGGGAUGAAAAAGUUAUUUUAUAAAAUAUGAUGGACGUUUUGGACGAUUUUCCCUGUAUAUUAUAACGAGCUCCAAAAACACUAGGUUGACUUGAGGAUGGAAGAAUUCGUAAAGGUAGGAAGAUUACUAUUAAUUAGACAAGUUUGCACGGCAUGACUACUGAGUAUAACUAGAAGCACUUUGAGGUCAAAGUGUUCACAUAAUAUUAUUGUAAAUUCGUGGAUAACUCAAGCCAUGAGAGGCUUGACUAUAAGAAGUUGUAAUACUUUUUAAUGAACAACUUGUUUUUUUUCUUUUAACGAUGAAAUCAGAAGUCAAUUACUAACCCUGAAUCCAGGUUUUUAAUGAACAACUGGAUAGCACUCAUUAUAAAUAGCCAUUCAUCAUAAAUUUCUUUUUUUUUUUGGUUUUUUUUUUCAUUCAAAAGAAAAGGAAGGACAGUAGGACAUCGCAAAUUUGUGCUCACAGCUUGAGUGUCUGAUGUUAAUUAAUCCCCCUAAGCACCCACGAUCGAGUUAUGGCAUUAGGCGGUGUGAAAUGGAGCAAAUUAAGUACUUGGAUAAGUUUACAAGACAGAGUAACAAUGUAUCAAGUUUGCUGACUUCAUACCCCAAGGGGUUUUAAUAUGUGCUCAUGUAUUAUGAGUUGAAUUGUACUCCAUAUAUAAGUGCUCAUUUUUACACAUUAACUACUUGUUAUCCUUUUUUUUAAAACAUGGUUUAUAGGGUUUUCCAUGCACAAAGUGGAAAAUGGGCUUGCUCAAAAUAAACAAGGCAAAUGGGCAGAGCAUCUCACAAGGCGUAACUGGAAUUGAAAGGGUCAUGACUUCACUUCUUGGUGAAAUUUGUGGCGUAAUUUUAUCGGAAUAGGAAUUUGGAUUUGGACUUGGAUCCUUAAUUGAUGCCUGACACUCUAAAUUUUUCACUCUCAAUAGACUUCCACCCAAAAAAAAAAAAAAGAAAAAGAAAAAAUGAAUCAUACAAGAAAAGAAAAACAACCCCACUUCUUUUUCUUUCCAAAGUGGGUACUAGGUGGCUUGGCAUCAUACAUUAAAUAAGAUAGAAUUAGAAAGCAACGUAUUAAAUCCGCAGUAAUGUUACCCAUCCAGACGGCGUGGCAAAUUUGUGUUGAGGCUGUAGGGCAAGCACAUAGAGAUAAUUAUCAGACUUGUACUACUAGUCAGAGAAGAUGUAUGUAUCUGGUAGUGUGGCCUGCGGAAUUGGAGCAUCCACCAGUGAUUUUCAAUUUUGCGUCGCUGUGUGUAUUAGGGUCGUGAAAAAGAUGCAAGACCACUACUCACAAGGAGAUGAUAAGGGGCCCGAAGUGGCCAAGAUUUUCAACUGGGAUUCAUUGGUGAGACAGAGAAGAAAAAAGCAGUAUCACCAAUGUCUCCCACUAAAGAAGGCGAAGGCGGCGUGGAAUAGGAGCAACGUCCCAACCCGGCCAACUCCCUUCUCCCCCUCAUUCUAUUACAACAAUUGGCCCAGCAACUCAACAACAGUCCUCCCCUUGACAAUCUAAUCUCUCCUGCUCUGUCUGGAUCGCUGAAUGUGCCUGCAGGGCUUCCACAUCUUGCUCUUUCGCCCUUUCCAGCAGAGCUUUAUAGUGCAAGGUGUAUACCAUAUAUAAUAGCCUGCACGAAGCUCUACGAGUACAGCUGUUGGAAUGAGCUUUUUUUUGAGAAAUUCUGUUAAAGCAGUGAAAAUCUGAAACUCAUGUUGUUACAAGUGAGGAAUGGUAAGGGAGAAGAUCUACAACACUUCAUCUCCAUUUUGAAUGAUUCCCGUAAUAGCCUAUUAAACAAACAAUAGAUAUGCGUAAUCACAAACAAACCUCAUGUCUUCUUUUUGCUUUUAAAACUCACGUGGGAGAAAGAAGGUGACAACAAUCAAUUAUAUAUACUACCUCAAACUCAAGUAAAUUAGUAUAAUUUUCACCCAAAAAAAAAAAAGAGAGAAAAAUAUCCAACACAAAAUAUCAUAGCAUGGAGUUGGACAUUUUAUCUUAAACUCAUAUGAGAUGUUUGCAAGAUUACAAGAAUUAUUUAUUUCACACCAUGAAGUGGCCUGGUGAGAUUUUCAUCAUCAAAAAUGUAUAUGCCUCUCCCCUUCCGAUUGCCCACAGAAAGCAAAAUGUACAUUAGAUUGAGGUGGUCAAAAACCAUCAACGUCCGUCCGUCGAGAAACCAAUUACAAAAACGUGUGAUUUAGGUUCCGUUUGAUAAAACUGAAUCUGAAUUCUGAAGUCUGAAAUCUAAAUACUGAAACAAUUAAUUUGCUGAAUUUUAAGCACUGAAAAAAAAUAUAUGAAUGCCUAAAUUUUAAUGCUAAACCUAUUUAUGCUGUUUGAUAAAUAUUUAUAGUUGAAUGCUUAAUAAGCUUAAUUUGACAAUUUUGCCCUUAUAUCCUUUCAUUCAAAAAAGAAAUAGAAUCUAUGAUUUAAUUAGUUUAAAAUUGUUAGGUAUGAAAAUGACAAUAUUUAUUUUUAAAUCAAAUUAAUAUAAAAGAUGAAAUAUAUUAUAUGAGGAGUAUGAAGAAGAUAUGAAAGUCAUUAAAAAGGGAGAAAAGAGAAACUAAAAAUCGUUAGAUAGAGAAUAUUAUAUUGUUUAAUUAGAUAAAAAUUUUGAACAUAAUUAACAAACAAUGGUAGAUUUAGUAGAUAAGAUAAGGUAGUUGAAGUAAUUCUAUUGAUUCUUAUCAGAAUUAAGCAUUCAGUUAGGAUUCUUGUGCUGAAAAAAUUACACACAGGUUCAGCACUGCUUAACAAGUUCAGCAAAUAGAUUUUUAUUUAUCAAACAUUUAAAACAUUUGAAUGUCUGAAAAAAUUCAGAUUCAACACUUUUUUAUGUUAUCAAACGGACCCUUAGUAAAAUCAUAAGAAACAGACGAAGCUACAAUACUUAUUCAUGUCUUCCACUGACUAAGAAAGACGAUGUGGAUUGUGGACGAAUAAUGAUGCUUUUCCUUUUAGACUCGUUAAUUUGAUUCAGAUUUGGAAUAAGAAAACAUCGAGAUCAUCCGCACCCUUUUUACUUGCUCUCUCUCGGUUGGUCCUGCCCCUUUUAAACCAACUCCUCUCCAAAACCAAACCACCCAAAUAUUUCACUAAAGUACAGCCAAAAAUUACACAUCCGAGACGCCACGCCCCACCAACCUACUCCCAUUAACAUUUUAGAAUACUAAUCACUUGCACCCGAAGUCAAACGUUGUUAGACCCCAGCCGUACGUAGAAAGCAGAGGCCAGCUUAUAUUCUAUGUUUUGGUGUUUUUCCAUCAUGACCAGCUGCAUCACAGUUAAAAUUCCCCACUAUCAUUCUAUAUUGAUAUCCGUUUCUUGAUGCUUUAUGACGAAUAACUUUUACUGACCCACCCAAAAUUUGUUUUUUUUUUUCUUUUUUGAGAAAUAUAAUACUAUAAUAUCUCUUAGGUUCACACGGUGGCCGGGUGCUCAAAGUUGAAACGGCUACCUUAAGAUAAGAAUAAGCAGGGAAAACGAGGACAUUUCUUUGCUCGAGGAUGAAAUCAAUGGAAAUGUCGACGUUGCUGUAAAGAAUUGAUUGAAACAAGAAGAAAGAAAGAUGGUGGUGAUACGUGUGAUACCUAAGACAUCUGUAAGUUUCCGAGCAAACAGUGUGGAUCAUUUCAUCGUAAGAAGAAUGUCACCACAAGUUGCUGGAAGAAUCACUUGCUUGCUGUCACGAUUAAGUUUUCGGCGAAGAUAUUGACCCUGACUUCAUGAGCAUUAGUAAAAGAUAUGAGGGUGAAACCGGAAAGAGGUGAUCCAGGUCUUAUAUUUUUUUCUUUUAUAAGCAGCCACGAUUAUUUGUUUGAAUAAAUAUUAUAUACACUGACAGUAUAUACACUAUCAUAUCACCGAUGAAUUCAUGACAUGCAUGUAAAAGUUGAAUUUCAAAUUCAAAUUUUAUAUAACUGACAUUCAUCCAACACUGACUGACUGCAACGUACACACUAUCAGCGUGGAAAAAACUAAUCCUAUUUGUUUCGUAAAGGAAAAACAAAACUACAUUUAUUUUGCAAAUUUUUGAAUUGUUCAUGACCGGUGGCAAUCCACGUCUUACUCAUGUGGCGACUUUUUCUUUUCUUUUUUUUUUUUUGGGCAUUGGAAAAUUGAUUCAAUUCUCAGCUAUUCAAAUCCUAACGUCGGCCCAGAUAAUACAUAGAUGAGAUUAAAUGUCAACUAGAAUUAACGAUCACCCAAAAAUAAAACAGCAUAUGUAAACUACGCCUGAUGGCCGGCUAUAUGUAUUCUUUAGUUGUAUUUUUAAGAUCAAAAAAAUGAAAAAAUUCACAAGGAAGUGCAGCUUAAUUAGUUGAUUACGAUGUAGAAAAUAUCUGACGUGUAACCAAUUUAUCAAACUCAAAUUUUGGAUAUGAUGACACAGUCAUAUAUAGCAAUUUUUUUUUGGAAUCGGUUCAAUUUUGAUGAUCAUCACUUCACUACAGAUGAGAAUAUGUUGUCGGAAUUACAGGUCAUUGUGGCUUGGGAUUAUUUCUAUGGGCUAGCUAUGGGCUUUGGUCAAGUCAUAUUUUCCCAUGAUUGUCAAGAGUCAUGGCCGCCGGAGACCUAAAGAAGGUCGUGGGUCUCCGCAGGAAUGUAUCAUUCGUCUUCCCGCUCAAGACUUGGGUCCUCAUCUCAUCUGGGAAACAAUUGAUUGACCCAGUCAGUCUAUACAUACAUUAUCAUAAACAAUCCCGUUGAUAGAGAUUAAAGAUCAACUAAGCAUUGGCCUAAUCGGAAAAUGUAACCGUAGUUGACUCGUUAUACAUGACGCGCCGGUUUAAGUUUCAUCAUUGUGAAAGGGCGAACCAUUUUUUCUUGUAUUAUACUACUAUUAGAUAAGCUCAUUUUAGCUUUUUUUUUUUUAUUUUUCCUCUUCUGGAAAAUAUACUGAAAUAGUAGCCGUGAAUCUUCUUGAAUUCAAAGCAGAAUUAAGAGAGUUAUUUUUCCAAGGACCCCAGAAACAAAAAAAAAAAAAGAAAAUGAACCACAGCCUUAUUAAUUCCUUCCCCUUCAUAGACUUUGUUAUACUACUACUACUACUCAAAUGAAUAUUGCAAAUUCAAUUUCAAUAAAACCAUUCUUAUUUCUCAUGAGAAAUUAACUUUGUUUACAUGUCAUUUAUUUCUCAUGAUAUUCAUCAGCAGCUAGCUAUAUUUAUGCAUGCGAAAUAAUUAAUGCAUAUUCAUCCAAUCCGGAUGCUGGCUAGGCUAUUGUAUAUACCAUGUGUGCAUGAUUGGACGACGAAAGCAACUAAAUUUUGUUCAAUAAAUUCUCAAGAAUUAAUUUAUUCUUGAACAAUAUUAAUCGACAAUAAGGCUUUUCUGCUCACCAAAAAAUUUACAUUUUCCCGCUUGGCUGACCAAAAAUUGACAAAGAACAAGUAAAUGGAACAAAGAAGCCGCGUGUGUGAAAGGUAAAACUAGCAUAAUAAAGAACGGAUUCUAAUACAAAUCUAAUAUGCCAGUGAUUUCAAACUGUCUAGCAAGCAGAGCCAUGUUUCUUCUCAGACUUGUUGAUCACAGUGGCUAGUAGACUGAGUGGUCGGCUUGGCGAGGUAAGUGGGGUUGUCAUCUCCGGCCAUGAUUACGACUAUCCUGGGCUCCGGUUCAUCAGGGCGUAGCACGGCGGCCCUCGUUGAUUUUUCCUGAUCAUCAUCGUUGUUGCCUGAGGAUUGAGUAGUAGUAGUAGUAGUAGGAUUCCUGUAAGAGCAGGCAAGAAUAAGAAGAGAAAAUGCAAUGAGCCCUAACAUGAGAGCAAGGCCAGCAAAGAGGUAAGGAAGAGGUGUAUUCCAGUGAUUGAAUAAUCCAGAGUUGACAUGAGCGGAAGUGGAGUUGUUUUCCUGGGUCAUUUUCUUUUUUUUUUUUUUUUUUUGGUUUUUGGUUUUGUCUACAGAUGUCUUUUGCCUUAGAGUUCUUGCAGCUUUAAUUUUGCAAUCAAGAGGAGAUCGCAUGUAUUUAUCCGUAUAAUUUAUAGGCCACCAGGGCAGGGCAAAUGAAUCACCAUUACGGUGCAUGGGUUCGGAUUAGGAUGGGUGAUUCAGUGAAUUACCAAAAAUGACCUGCAUGAGUAAGUGGGAUUCUUUCUUGUGCUUGGCUGUUUCUUCUUUUGGUGAUCCUUCCUCGAAGAGAGAAUAGAUUGGGCCGCAAGUCUCUGCUGGAUUCACCAGCUAGCUGCCUUCCUCAUUUGCCCUCUCUUAAUUAAUUAUCAAUUAUUAUCUCAAGAUUUUAUUUCUAUUCCAUGCACCAUGACUUUGAAGCAACCAGUUUAACUUUGAGCCUUAAAGGAUAAACUAACUAAUCCACAUUGUCUUAUUCUGGAUGUUCCGAUUGAGAAUCCAAGAGUUAAUACCACUUAGCACGUAAUCCGAAAGUUAAAUACCAGUGAGAGAUGUUUAAGGCGAGAAUCGAAUAUGUGACAAGAGUACCGCUGCGUACUAACAAAGUUAAUGAUUAAACCCCGUUCGAAAAAUCAAUCAACAAUUUUUUUUUUAUAUCAUGAUAUUGGGUAGCUUAAUUAAAGAUUUGUGAUUACUUUUUAUUUUUGUUUGUUUGUGUCUUAGUUGAAUGCGCGAGAACAUCGUGCACAAUACUCGUUGGCAAUUAGACAAACCCGACAGUGUGAUGAGGAGGUAGAUAAAAUUCUUCUUUCUUCCGCACCUAGAAAAGUUCAUAGAUUAAUUAAUUCUCUCAAAUUAUUACCAACGGCAAAUAUGGCUUGGUGUGAUCGUAGCGGGGUUUUUUUAUUUUGACUGUAACGAUAACAUUUUUUAUAACCAAAUUCAUCUUAUUCCACAGAAAAUGGGAGUCUAAAGAAAUUGUGUAAGGAAUUAGCAGAUAUAUGAACUCGACUAAAUUAAAAGAAUACUGUGACACUAUUUUUAAAUUUUUUUCACUAUAAAUGAAAUUCGAAUUCUUGACAUAAUAGUCUCUUUUUGGUGGCCAUUGAGGCACAAGCUCCGUGAUUAAUAGGAGCAGGGUUUGGGCUAAGGGUAUUUUGGUGAUAUGAGGUUGUGAAGACCAGCGGUAGUUGAAUGAAGCAACGGGCAAGUGAAAGGGAGAAUGAGUGUGAAAUUGAUUUCGUUGAGCCACGAAAAUGACCGCGAGUUUCUUGCAUGAUGGGCUCUUAGCUUUUUUCUAACCAAACCCCAACACUGGCCCCCAUUAAACGUGUUCUCUUGGCUCAAGUAUCCUCUUUAAUUAAUACUCAGGCGGCAACAAAGGAAGCCUGAGCUAAUUGAACACGAACACCGCCUGCCAAAUUCCCUACCAAUUAUGAGCCAGGAGAAGAAGAAAAAUUGGAAAUAAUUAGGAAUAACAAUGGGUGGGUAGGGUUAAAUCCGAUAUCAUUGGUACUCGAUCUGAUGGUUAUCCAAUUAGAUGACAGUUGGAUGGGUAAUUGGUUAGAAUUUGAUAUUGAGGAGGGGUAAUCGAUAGAUAAUCCAUUCGAUAAGAUUUGAUAAAAAAAAAUGCUAAAAACUCGAAACUCGAUACCCGUCAUACAAACAUAACAUAAAAUUAAGGCACGCAGGCAUAAUUAGUAAGGCGCACAGGCAUGACAUAUGUUGUGCCUUAAUUUUAUGGUCCAACAAUAAUUAUUAAUUGACCCUCAAAUUCUCUCUUCUUUUUUUUAUCAUCCCUCAAAUCCUCAAACUUACAAUUUUUAUCUUUUUAAUGUAUUAAUUUCAGUUUGAGUGUAUCCAAUGAAUAAUAUGAACCUAAUAUCGAGAGGGAUUCAUGAUGGAAGUUAAAAUCUGCAGGAUUACCAGAAAAAAUUUAGUAAAAGACUUAGAUAUACAGGUUAAAAUUUGGUAAGAGAGAUUUUUGAGGGUACUAACUUUCUACCAUUCUUAGACAUAAGUGCUUUACUUUUGUUACCUUUGUUGAGGAAUACAAGGAAAGAGAAGCAGAGAAGAGAUUCGUGGAUUAGGAUGAAACCAAUUAAAACAUAUCCAAUUUCUUUAUUCACUUUUUACGAUUUUAACAUUUAUUAACAGGUUAUACUUUUUAAUGAAACUGACUCAUCGAGGUGCGAAUGUAGAUACACUACCUAAGGAAAACCCACAACUCAAUCCAAAAGACAUGCUGAUUUUCAGGCUACACUGAGAGAACCUUGAGUAGUAUACACACGCCAGUCACAAUCACACAGCUAUUUCGUAUAGUCGCCUUCGAGUUCAUAUUAUCAAUUCAUGUUCUUGGAGAAUUAGCACUGGAAAACCAUGUAACACAACGUUGGCUUUGGUAAUUGGUGGUACAAGAGAACCGAAACCGAAAAUUAAAAGGAUGGAAAUGAUGAAUGUUAAAGCGAAUUGGUGUGGUGGGUCUUUUGCAUGGAAUUAAAAAUUCCGGUGGUGGAACUUGGGAGACUGAGACUUUAGACUCUAGAGAAGGAAGGUUUCUUCAGACUGGAAAGAGACAGGCACAACGGAAUUUAUAGGGAAAGUAUGCUGCUAGUUGAAUUGAAUCGAAUCUGCCAAAGAAUUACAUUUGAUUCUCAUCAACUGAGGGAUGCGGAGAAAAUGUUGUUAAUGUCCCCCAGGAACAGUUUUAGCAAGCCACCAUAUAUAUAUAUAUAUAUAUAUUUUUGGUGGAUAAAAACAGCCCUCCGUUUUUACAAUUUACAUGCCAAUUUUCAAUGGUUAACGCUUGGGUCGAUUCGUGACCCAAAUUCUAUCACACCGUCAUACUAAUUCAAGUAUUGAAAAUGUGGCAAAAUUUGGAUCACUAGUUCUACAAGAUCGGAUCUACUCCAGUUUUUGCCAUUUCCAAUGUCCUGGUAUUCAUGACAGACAGAAACUACAGAAUUGAAUUUUAUUAGAGAUGUAUCAUAUGUGCAAGGCUUUCUAUCACUUUUUUUUUUUUUU
rnacentral:lncRNA from 1 species